UUUUUUCAAUAAAGUGCCAAGUAAAGCCUUUGGGAUAGUGUGGAUGAUAGUUGACUUGAAUUUGUGCAAAAACAAAAACUUUUGCUUCCAGAAAUGGAAUUAUUUAUAUUUACUGGAGCGUCAAAAAAUUCUGAUUUUUUUACAGAUGGUUGAUAUACAAAUUGUCUACGUGGUCCUAAUUGUUCAGAAUUUUUGGAGUUGCAGAAGUAUGACUAAUAUUCAGAUCUUUACAGAUUGUUCUGUUUUUAAUAGAUUUUGUUUUCAAUGCAUAGUUUGCUUGCUUUCUAGUUUCUAUGGCUUAUAUUGCUUAACAUAAAUUGAGGAAAUGAUAUGCUACAGUAGGCAUUGUGUGGAAACAAUUAUGAAUCUUGUCUUUGACAGUACCAAAGUGAAAUGGUUGCUCUUUAUCAUACUAACCAAUCUCACGAAGUUCUGUUAAGUUUUGUGUGGUUGAAGUUUUCAUGUUUUGGGUGAGAUGUCGAUAUGAGGAUAAUAAGGUGACAAUACCUUAAGCUUGGGGAUGCCCAAGGCACCCCAAGGUAAUAUUCAAGGAAUAUCCAAGCAACUAAGCUUGGGGAUGCCUCGGAAUGCAUCCCCUCUUUUUUCUUCAACAUUAUUGGUAACCUCACUUGGAGCUAUGUUAUCAUUCGUCACAUGAUAUGUGUUUUGCUUGGAGCAUCAAUUUAUUUUGUUAGGAUUUGCUUGAUUUUAUUUAUAAUAAUGUUUUGCAUCUUUCUUUUCAAUAAAAAUGUCAAGUAUAGCCUUUGCCAUGCUUAACUUGCAAGUAUAUGAGUUGUUGUUUCAAAACAGAAAGUUUAUCGAUGUUGCAAAAAUUCCCUAGAAAAGUCAGGAUGUGAUAAAAUUGUGAAACUUUUUGCCAAAUAAUCUCUGGUAAAUUUUAUACAGUGUGGUAAAUUUUCAUAAUUUUUUUAAUUUAAGAAGUAUUGAUACUCUUGCAUUCUUUACAGACUGUACAGUUUUGGCAGAUUGCUGUUAUGGUUGCAUUGUUGCAUAUGGUUGCUUGUUUAAUGAUUCUGUUUGUGGAUAAGAGUAUUAAAUAUGCAGAGGCAUUUAGUAUGCAAUGUUGAAUAAUAAUUUUAGUGAUUUGCUACAGUAGAGAAUGAUAAGGUUUUUGCAUUGGUUUAUACUAACUUAUCUCACGAGUUCUUGUUGAGUUUUGUGUGGAUGAAGUUUUUAAGACUUAGCGAAAUCGUGAUAUAAAAGGAAUUAAGGAGACACAAAAGCUCAAGCUUGGGGAUGCCCGAGGCAUCCCAAGAUAAUAUUUUCAAGAAGUCUCAAGCAUCUAAGCUUGGGGAUGCCCCGGUAGGCAUCCCACCUUUCUCGAUCGACAAUUAUCGGUUAGUAUCGGUUGAUCCUAAGUUUUUGCUUCUUCACAUGAUGUGUGCUAUCCUUGGAAUGUCAUUUUGUUUUGUUUUUCUUGCUUUAAUAAAGUACUUAGAUCUAAAAAAAUUAAAUAAAAUAGAGUCCUCAAAUAGUUUCCAGGGAGGCUAGGUAAGCGGCACGCACAUCCCGUCAACGAAGCUCUUUUAUAUGGAAUUGCUCUAGUGCUUCACUUAUAUCUUUUUUAGCACGGUGUGCUUUAGUAUUUUUGAAGAAAUUAUCUCUUGCUUCACUUAAAUUAAUUUCAUGAUCUUCACUUAUAUUUGUUUGAGCUUAUCAAAAGCAACACAUGAAAAUUAGUUCCAAAGUGAUAGAUAUCCAAGAAGGAUAUAAUAAAAACUUUCAAGAAGAUCAUUGGACAAAAUAAACUUGAUUCCUUGUAAUAGAUUUGAGCUAUGAUGAUGUGAUAUGUGAGUCAUGUUGAUGUGUAAUUAUACUUUAGUAAGAAUAUUGGUGUUAAGUUUUGUGAUUCCCUAUGCAAGCACGGAAGUCAAUAGUUAUGCAAUGAAAUUACAUCCUACUUGUGGUGCAUUACUCGGUGUUAAUUAUGCUCAAUGCUCGCUUACGAGAUUAUUCGUUUCUUGGUUGGUCGCUUCUCAAUCUUUUGCUAGCCUUCAUUUUGCACUACUUGUGCAUCCAAAAUCCUUUAAACCAGUUUUGCCACAUGAGUCCACUAUACCUACCUAUAUGCAGUAUUAUUUUGCCGUUCUAAGCAAAUUUGUAUGUGCCAUCUCUAAUUUUCAAAAUAAAUUUCUCUUUUGUGUGCUCGUACCACUCGCGAGGCGGUGAGGGGUGGCCAAUAUUUUCCAUGCUAGAUGUGUUAUUCUCAUGAUGAUUGUUUAUUCACUUGUCAUUGCACGAGAGUAAGGCAAAGGUAUUAGGGAUGCCCAGUCCCGAAAUGAAAAAUAAAUUUACUUUAUGUUGUCAAAUAAUAAAUUCCUUGGAAAGUGUUGGUAUGGAGGGCACCGUGGAUCGGUUAGCCAUGGAAAGUGAAAGUAUGGUUGAAAAAGGAAUAAACUUUAUUUUCUGUUUGGGAACUGCCUAUGAUAUAUCUAGAAUGGAAAGUGUUGGGAGCUCUAAGUCGUUUUCGUUGGUGGGAAAAGUAUGCCUCUCAAAAUGUUUUUAUCUCCCAAUUUUUGCUUUUAGCUCUGGCACCUCUACAAAUCCCUACUUCCCUCUGCGAAGGGCCUUUCUUUUACUUUAUGCAAUUUUUAUUUUUAAUUUGAGUAUCCAUCUUCUCUUAUAAAGCACAAACUAGGAGGCGCUAUGAUCGUACUUGAGCAUUGGGUGUAGCUAAUAUGCGAGUGUGUUUCAUGAAUGGAUCAAUGAUUGAGCAUGAUGGGCUAGGGAUAACUUAUUUUAGCGUUAAUAUUUUGAAAGACAUUGUUGCUUGUUGAUAUGCUUGAGUAUUUAAGUCCUCAUGUCAAAACUAGACUAUUGCUUUGAACCAUAUAAAAGUCCAAAUGUCCAUGCCACAAAGAAAAGAAUAUGAGAUGACAUGAUAGGCAGCAUUCCACAUCAAAAAUUCUGUUUUUAUCAUUUACCUACUCGAGGACGAGGAGGAAUUAAGCUUGGGGAUGCUAAUACGUCUCCAACGUAUAUAUAAUUUUUUAUUGUUCCAUGCUGUUAUAUUAUCAUUCUUGGAUGUUUUAUAAUCAUUUUAUAGUCAUUUUAUAUCAUUUUUUGGUACUAACCUAUUGACAUAGUGCCAAGUGCCAGUUGCUGUUUUUUGCAUGUUUUUUACAUCAUAGGAAAUCAAUAUCAAACGGAGUCCAAACACCACGAAACUUUUUGUGGAUUUUUUAUGGACCAGAAGACCAGCAAUGGGCCAGAGCAGCACCUGGUGGGUGCCCCGAGGGGGGCACAACCCACCAGGGCGCGCCUGGCGGCCCAGGCGCGCCCAGGUGGGUUGUGCCCACCUCGGUGGCCUCCUGCACCCCCUCUUUACCCUAUAAAUUCCCAAAUACUCCAAAAACCCUUGGGUUUAACCUAGAUCAGAAGUUCACCGUCGCAUGCCUCUAUAGCCACCGAAAACCAAUCUAGACCCCAUUUCGGCACCCUGCCUGAGGGGGGAAUCAUCUCCGGUGGCCAUCUUCAUCAUCCCGGUGGCCACCACGAUGAGGACGGAGUAGUCCAACCUCUGGGCUGAUGGUUUGUACCAGUAGCUAUGUGUUUAAUCUCUCUCGUGUUCUUGAGAUGUCACGAUCUUGAUGUAUCGCGGGCAUUGUGUUUUCCCCUCUCUAUCUUGUUGUGAAUUGAGUUUUCCCUUUGAGAUUUUGUUUUAUCGGAUUGAAUACUUUUAUGGAUUUGAGAGCACUUGAUAUAUGUCCUGCAUAUGAAUACUUGUGGUGACAAUGGGGUAUCGUAUUGAUUCACUUGAUGUAUGUUUUGGCACUCAACUCGCGGAUUCCCGAGGUGACAUUGGGGUAAUCUAUGCAUAGGGGUUGAUGCACGUUCUUGUCUUUGUUUCUCCAGUAGAAAUCUUGGGGCACCCUUUGAGGUUCUUUGUGUUGGAUUGAGUAUUACGAAUCUGAAAUUAUUUGGUGUUAUUUUAGUACGAACUCUUGGAUAGAUCGAUCGGAAAGAAUAGCUUCGAGGUGGUUUCGUACCCUACAAAUAAUUUCCUCUUAUGUUCUCCGCUACAUAGGAACUUUGGAGUGAUUCUUCAUUGCACUUUGAGGGGUGGUUAUAUGAUCUAGUUAUAUUAGCACUGUUGGGAGAUUGCACUAGCAAAAGUACGGACCCCAUGCCUCAUUUUCAAGCAUUGAAAUACCAUUUUUGUGCCCCUUUACUAUUUGCUACCUUGUUGUUUUUAUUUAUUCAGAUUAUAAAAAUAUAUUUCUACCAUCCAUAUUACACUUUUAUCACCAUCUCUUCGCCGAACUAGUGCACCUAUACAAUUUGCCAUUGUAUUAGGUGUGUUGGGGACACAAGAGAUUUCUUGUAUUUGGUUGCAGGGUUGCUUGAGAGAGACCAUCUUCAUCCUACGCCUCCCACGGAUUGAUAAACCUUAGGUCAUCCACUUGAGAGAAAAUUGCUACUGUCCUACCAAACUCCGCGCUUGGAUGCCCAACACGUGUCUAUAAGAGUAAAGUUGUGUAGUAGACAUUAGGAGACUUGGGGUUUAAAGCUAGCCGCUUGUGGCAGCAAGAGGGCACGCGUGAUUGACAGACUGUAUCUCACCUAAUCUUUUCUCUAAAAGCAUCUUCUUCCUCUCCAAGUCUCCCCAUCCUCCUCUCUAGUUCCUCACCUACUCGAUCCCGAUCCUCUCCUCUUGCUGGUUUGUUACAAUUGGUAUUCAGAGCAGGUCGCUAGAAUUUUUUGUCCCUGUUGUUGGUUGCUGACCGGUAACAUCCACCGCGCCGGUGCGAGCUGCUCCGGCAAGCCGCACAACAUCCGUCGCAGGGUUUGAUCUCUUCUAGAGCAGGGCGACGGCUCCCCAAAAAGCUUCCGCGGCGACGUGGCAAGUGCUGGCCGCCAUGGACGAGGGAAUCAACAGCAUCACCAAGAUGCUCGAGUCGCUCCAUGCCAAGGUGGACAAGCAGAAGGCCGCGCACGACAAGCAGAUCGAGAUGUAGGCCGUGUUGAAUGCAAAUAUCACGGAGGAGGUGCGCGGGCACGGCAAGAAAAUCGAUCUGACCCAGGAGGACGUUGAUGCGGCACGCAAGGCAGUCGAGGGCUCGGUGUCUCCGGUGGGCUCGAUCACCAUGCUGCUACACCAGCCCACGCCGCAGUAGCAGCCAGCGCCACCACCUCCUCCACGGUCGCCGCGCCCCGCCCCAGAUCCGGUCCGUCCUCUUCCUCCCACGCGCGUCUGGGGAUAAUCGUCCAGCGCUCAUCCCAGUGCCCCCGCAUGGCGGCUUCCUCGCGAUGGCGACCGCCUCGUCACCAACGGGCUACAACAACAAUGAGUACCACAAGCCUCCCAAGCACGAUUUCCCCAAGUUCGACGGCACCGCACCAUAUCUGUGGCUCGACCACUGCUUCACCUACUUAGAGCUCUACAAGGUGGCAUCACACCACUGGGUGGCCACCGCGGCUCUCUACAUCGACGGGCAGGCAGCGCACUGGUUGCAGGCAUUUCAUCUAACACACCGCAACAUCAUAUGGGAGCUCUUCACCGCGGCGGUCCUGGAGGAAUUUGGCACGGACGAGUUUGAGGUGGUCAUGCACAAGCUACUCCAACUCCGGUAGACAGGCACCGUCACUGAGUACCGCGUCGCCUUCGAUGAGAAGAUGUAUCAGCUGCUGGCUCUGGAUCCGUCCAUCAACACCAAGUUCUUCAUCACGCGGUUCCUACUAGGGUUGAAGGACGAGCUCCGAGCCGCUGUUCAUCUUCAAGUGCCGUCGAGCAUCACGCGCGCCUCGGUUGGCCCGUAGACAGGAAGGAGAGCUGGGCACGACAAGGGCACACCCGCGCAUCACACCCUUGGGACGCCUCCUCCGACGACUGGAACACAACAACCAAGAGCAGCUGCACCCAACCGCGCGCAAGGGCAUGACUACACGCGCGAGCGACAGCUCCGCGACUUUCGCCGCGCCAACAACCUCUGUUUCAAAUGCGGUGAUCGCUACUCGCAAGAGCACCGCUACGCCCCACCUGCCCAGCUGCUCAACAUCCAUGUUGGGGACCACCACGAGGUUCAGUCCGACAACACCAUCCACGCCCUGGAGCUCCUGGACGACCCAGGCCCCGGCGCCCAGCCGCCCGCACCCGCCGCGGGCGCGCCAGAGUGCUCCUUCCUCUCGUCCCAGGCGCUCGACGGCACGGACUCGGCUACAACCAUCCGUUUGGAUGCUCUGGUGGGGAACCAAGUGAUGCUGCUUCUUCUCGACUCCGGCAGCACGCACAAUUUUGUGAACAAAUCCUUCGUUGAACGCAUCGGCGUCACCACGGAGGAUAUGGCACCGGUGGAUGUAUGCAUCACAAAUGGCGAUCGGCUCACCUGCAGCCGCAUCGUGCCUGAGCUCAAGUGGUGGAUGCAGGGGCACACUUUCGACACGCCCAUGCGUGAGAUGGAGAUCGGCGCGUACGAAGGCAUCCUGGGGAUGAACUGGCUCACCCAGCACAGCUCGAUGACGUGCCACUAGCAGGACAAGUGGGUCAAGUUCACACACGAGGGCGAAGAGGUCACGCUCCGCGGCGUGUCAACGAAGGCUACCACAACACUCAAGGUGGUCGAACCCGACGAGUUGCGCAAGAUGAUCGUGGGCAAUGAAGUCUGGGCCGUGGCCAUGGUGGACACCUGUGGGUAUGCCCCGUCGCCACCAUGCAAGCGUGUCAGCAAUACAUCCCUUAGCGAUCUGCAUGAGGAAUUUGCUGACGUCUUUGCAACACCACAUGUCCUUCCUCCGCACCGCCAAUACGACCAUACCGUCACGCUGGUAGAGGGCGCAGUCCCCGCGAACACGCAUCCCUACCAAUACUCCCCGCUCCAAAAGGACGACAUCGAGCGGCAGGUCAAGGAAAUGCUUGACGCUGGCAUGAUCACACACAACGUUAGCCCAUACGCGGCCCGGUGUUGCUGGUCAAGAAGAAGGACGACACGUGGCGGUUCUGUGUCGACUACCGCCGGCUGAAUGACACCACCAUUAAAAACGAGUUUUCGAUGCCCGUCGUCGACGAACUCCUCGACGAGCGGAUCGGCACGGCCAUCUUCUCCAAUCUUGAUCUACGUGCGGACUACCAUCAAAUCAGAAUGCGAGAAGAGAGUGAAUCUAAGACCGCGUUCAAAACGUGUCACGAGCAUUUCCAGUUCCAUGUCAUGCCGUUUGGACUAACGAAUGCACCGGCCACCUUCCAGUGCCUCGUGAAUGCGAUCUUCAGUAAAUAUGUGCGCAAGUUUGUUAUCAUUUUUCUGGACGACAUCCUCGUAUUUAGUGAAACUAAUAGAGGAAAAGGUGUCCCGUCUUUCGAUGAGAUGGUGGCUAUCGUUUUUGGUGGAGUAGACUUUGACGAUCCGACUACGAACGUGCGACGACGUCGCGCCUUAGCAAUCGGUAAACCAACUCUGAGAGGUUAUUGACCACGCUGGAGCAUGAUCAACCUAACCAUGAAGGUCUAUUUCCUGCAAGCAAACAAAGAACAAGCAAGAAAUUGAAAUUGCAAUAUAGAUAUUGCGAAUAUAAGAGGAAAGCUUUACUAAUGAAGGUGGGGUUCUGUGACGUCUUGGUCUGGUCGUUGAACACAAACGAAGUAUGCAAAGUUGCAGCUAUGGCAAACUUUUAAUCUAAACAAAACCCAAAGUCUAAACGACGCCCUAAGGGCUGUAUAUAUGGAGUAGUGGGGAAUUUCAUGACCCCUUGUAGGAGGGGUCCGAAACCAACCCUAACUUUGUUUCCCCACAUAUACGGACUCUAAAAACAUCCUAUACUUAUGUAUUUCGAAAUUACAUGGGCCUGGCCCAAUAAUAAGGUGACGCGGCACCUAUAAUAGCCUCUGGACGAAAUUUGUGAAGUGGCAUCUUGUAUAUUUCGUCCAAGCCUUCAUGCACUCAUUACGGUGGCUUCAAAGUCCUGAAAUCAUCACUUGAAACUCCGUUCUUAUUUCCCUUGCGCAUGCCAUCAUCUCCAUGCUUGUUCUUGCUCCAAUACUCAACCUUCUCCAAGCUAGGGCCUUCAUUUGUAAGCAAAACAAAUGUAUCCAAUUUAGGUAGCAUCAUAUUCUCAUGAACAUUACAAUCAUUACCAAGAAACGGAAGUACCUCGUAAUUUAAUUGGCGUGCGUGAGCUCUAGUAAUUGGUCCAGUAUGUAUAGUAGCAAGGGUUUUGGGUGUAACAAUGGUAUUGAUUUCCUCAUCAUCCUCCCCUUCUUAAAAUGAAGUCGUCCUCGACGGAAGCUCAUCUUACUCAACCAAAUAAGGCUUCAAAUCUGCAAUGUUAAAAGUGGGACUAACCCCAAAAUCUGCAGGCAGCUCAAGUUUCUUUGCAUCAUCAUUUAUUUUCUCUAACACCUUAAAAGGACCAUUAGCACGUGGCAUUAGCUUUGAUUUGCACAAAUAAGGGAAUCUAUCCUUACACAAACGUAACCAAACAAGAUCUCCAGGUGCAAACACAAUAUUUUUUCUACCCUUAUCUCCAACAAGUUUAUAUUUAGCAUUCAUACGCUCAAUGUUUUCCUUAGUUAACUCAUGCAUUUUUAAGAUCAAUUCAGCACGUUGUUUAGCAUCAAAAUUAACCUUCUCCGAAGAUGGAAGAGGCAACAAAUCAAUAGGUGCAUGAGGUAGGAAACCAUACACAAUUUUAAAAGGGCAAAUCUCAGUAGUAGAAUGCAACGAACGAUUAUAAGCAAAUUCUAUAUGAGGCAAGCAUUCUCCCCACAUUUUCUUAUUAUUCUUCAAAACAGCCCUAAGCGUAGUAGACAAUGUUCUAUUGACUACUUCAGUUUGUCCGUCAGUUUGGGGGUGACAAGUAGUACUAAAAGCAGUUUAGUCCCCAACUUAGCCCAUAAACAUCUCCAAAAGUGGCUAAGAAAUUUCGUAUCACAAUCUGAAACAAUAGUAUUUGUCACACCAUGCAAGCGAAUAAUUUCACGAAAGAACAAAUCAGCAACAUUAACAACAUCAUCGCUUUUAUGACAUGGUAUAAGGUGUGCCAUUUUCGAGAACCUAUCCACGACAACAAAUAUGCUAUCCCUCCCCUUCUUUGUUCGAGGUAAACCUAAAACAAAGUCCAUAGAUAUAUCCUCCCAAGGAACACUAGGUACAGGCAAAGGCAUAUAUAAACCAUGAGGAUUGAGUCGUGACUUAGCUUUUUGACAUGUAGUGUAGCGAGCAACAAAACGCUCAACAUCCCGUCUCAUCUUUGGCCAGAAGAAAUGUGUAGCAAGUAUAUCCUCCGUCUUCUUCACGCCAAAGUGUCCCAUUAAUCCUCCUCCAUGUGCCUCCUGCAACAACAAAAGACAAACGGAGCUAGCUGGAAUGCCUAGCUUGUUAGCACGAAACACAAAUCCAGCGUUAACGAAGAACUUGUUCCAUGUUCUCCCUUCUUUACAAUUCUGCAAUACAUCUUUAAAUUCAGCAUCAUGCACAUAUUAAUUCUUUGAUGGUCAAGUUGUGAAAGCAUAGUAUAACGACAAGACAAUGCAUCAGCAAUAACAUUUUCCUUACCCUUCUUGUUUUUAAUGACAUAAGGAGAAGUCUCUAUGAAUUCAACCCGUUUAGCAUGUCUAUGAUUCAGUUUGGCUUGACUUUUAAUAUGUUUCAAAGAUUCAUGAUCAGAAUGUAUAACAAAUUCCUUAGGCCAUAUAUAAUGUUGCCUUGUUUCUAAAGUCUGAACAAGAGCAUAUAAUUCUUUAUCAUAAGUAGAAUAGUUCAGACUAGGCCCACUCAAUUUUUCAGAAAAGUAUGCAACAGGUUUGCCAUCUUGUAAUAACACACCUCCUAAUCCAAUUCCACUAGCAUCACAUUCAAGCUCAAAAGUCUUAUUAAAAUCAGGAAGUUGGAGUAAAGGAGCAUGUGUCAACUUAUCUUUCAAUACCGUGAAGGCUUCUUCCUGUGCGGUACCCCAAACAAAAGGCACAUCCUUCUUUGUAAACUCAUGUAGAGGUGCAGCAAUGCUGCUAAAAUCUCUCACAAAACGCCUAUAGAAUCCAGCGAGGCGAAGAAAACUCCUCACUUGUGUGACCGUUUUGGGCUGCGGCCAACUCUAAUAGCUUCAAUCUUGGAUUUAUCAACUUCAAUUCCCUAUGGAGUAACAACAUAGCCAAGAAAAGAUACUCGGUCGGUGCAAAAUGUGCACUUCCCAAGGUUACCAAACAAACGUGCAUCACGUAGAGCAAUAAAAACAGCACGUAAAUGUUCCAAAUGUUCCUCCAAAGAUCUGCUAUAAAUCAGUAUAUCGUCAAAAUAGACUACCACAAAACGUCCAAUGAAAGCACAUAAAACUUCGUUCAUUAAUCUCGUGAAAGUACUAGGUGAAUUAGUUAACCCAAAAGGCAUGACUAACCACUCAUAUAAUCCAAACUUAGUUUUAAAUGUUGUUUUCCAUUCAUCUCCCAAUUUCAUACGAAUUUGAUGGUAUCCACUACGCAAAUCAACUUUGGAGAAUAUUGUAGAGCCACUCAAUUCAUCAAGCAUAUCAUCUAGCCUAGCUAGGAAUAGGAUGACGAUAACGAAUAGUAAUAUUAUUAAUGCCUCUACAAUCAACACACAUACACGACGUACCAUCCUUUUUGGCACUAGUAUAAUAGGAACAGCACAAGGACUAAGAGAUUCGCGUAUAUAACCUUAGUCGAGCAGCUCCUGUACUUGACACAUAAUCUCCUUCGUCUCCUCUGGAUUGGUAUGGUAUGGUGCACGGUUGGGUAGUGAUGCACCGGGAAUUAAGUUAAUCUGAUGCUCAAUCCCUCGAAUAGGUGGUUAUCCCGGUGGCACGUCUUGUGGUAUGACGUCAGCAAACUCCUGCAAAAUGUUACCGAAAGCAGGAGACAAAUAGCAAGGCAUGUCCUCGAAUGAAAAUAAUGCCUCUUUGCGCACAAAAGCAUAACAAACAGAUUUGCUGCAAUCUAGAUCAUCAAUAUUAGAUUUGGUGGCAAGUAAACAUCCACUUUUCAAUUUAAUUUCAGAAGCAACACUAGAUGGUUUAUUAUUUGGUUUCAUUUGCUUCUCAACUUCUUUUGCCAUGAUCUGAUUUUCACUCUUAUUUUGCUCCUGUUAUGCUUUACUAGCUCGAUUAAUAUCAUCUUUCAAAAUGGAAUCAGGAGUCAUAGGAAGCAAAGUAAUAUGUUUAUCCUUAUGAACAAGAGUUUAGUGAUUGUUUCUACCAUGGUGUACUAAAUUUUUAUCGAAUUGCCAUGGUCUACCAAGUAAUAAGGAACAUGCUUGCAUGGGUACCACAUCACAAUCAACAAAAUCAGCAUAUGUAGCGAUAGUAAAAUGCACACGAACAAUACGUGUUACCUUAACCUUGUCGUUGUUGUUGAACCAUUGGAUGUAGUAAGGAUGUGGAUGUGGUCUUGUGGUGAGAGAGAGCUUCUCCACCAUCUCCAUGCUAGCCAAGUUGUUGGAUCUCCCUCCAUCUAUGAUGACGCGGACAGAAUGUUCCUUCACAACUCCCUUUGUAUGGAACAAAUUAUGCCUCUGAUUUUGCUCAACUUGUGUGACUUUCACACUCAAAACACUUUGAGCAACUAAACUUUCAUACCUGUCAGCAUCUUCAGUAGCAAUAUAUUGCGUCUCAUGAUCAGAAUCAUCUCCACCGUGUUCUUCACUUGUAAUAAGAGCCAAAGUCUCCUCAUCAUAGUCACCAGCGGACUCAUAUCCACCAUCCUCAAUAGCAAUCAUCACACGCUUAGUUGGGCAUUCUCUCGCAUAAUGACCUCCACCCUUGCAACGACGACAAAUAAUAUCAUGUGUUUGCCGUGUUGAUGCCAUGGAUGAAGAAGAGCUCUGUGUAGAACCGGAAGGUGUACUCCUGGUAGAUGGUGGUGGUGGUGCCUGCUUCCUUGUAUCACGGCUGGAGGUGUCGGUGGAGUAGAAUGCGUGGAAGUAGAGGAUGCACUCGAUGUCCAUGAGGAAGGUCGACCUAUAGAAAAGUUAGUUCGCGCCAAUGCCUGUCGAUCCUGCACUUCUUAUUCAGCUUUACAAGCAAGAUGGAAUAAACGAUUGAUAUUAUUAUACUCCUUAUACUCUAGAAUGGUCUGAAUCUCUCUAUUUAAUCCACCCAUAAAACAUGCAAGCAUAGCUUCAUUCUCCUCAACAAUACCACGCCUAAUGAUGCCAGUUUGUAGUUCCUGAUAAUAUUCUUCUACCGAUUUUUUCCUUGUCUUAAGCACUGCAACUUCUGAAGUAAUUCACGUUGAUAAUAUGGUGGAACCCAACGAGUACGCAUAGUGGUUUUCAAAGCAGCCCAAGUAGCUGGAAUAGGAUAUAGUCUACAAUGUUCAGACCACCAAACACAUGCAAAACUAGUGAAAGCACAAACAGCAGCAGCAACACGUCUUUCCUCGAGAUAUUGUAAACAUGUAAAAGUUGUUCAGUUUCUAACUCCCAAGUAAGAUAUAUAUCAGGAACAUAUCUACCCUCGAAUGGUGGAAUAUUGAAUUUUAAUUUAGGAAGAUGGUCAUGAUCUCGUACCUAAGGUGGUAGUGCAGGCCUACCAUUGCGAUUAUUUGCAUGUGGACGACUUGGUGGCGGUGGUGGUGGUUGCACGUAGUUCUGAUUUUGAUCAACCUCAUCCUCAUAAUCACCCGCGUAAUCAUCCUCCUCCGCAGCAGCAACAGGAGCCACAGAAGCAUCAACAGCAGUAGCAGCUGCACCAGAAGCUUGGCCAGGCUCAAGAGGAACACGGCUCACUCAGCGGAGGGUUGUUUCGCAAUGUGGAGGUGGUUGUUGUUGUUAUUGUUGCAAUGGUGUAGCAGAGGCAAGAGGUGGAGGUAGACGCGCAAGCACUUCAGCGAACUUUGCAUCAAACUUGGUGUCAAUUGUCUUCUCAAUGUCAUCAAUCCUUGCUAAUGCCUUGUCAAAACUGGCCAUGAUGUCUUCCACUUGUUGGCCCAACAUUUCCUGGAAUUUAUCAUGAAGCUCCUUGUUCGUCAUGUUCUCCCAGUACAGCUCAUCAGCUUGUGAUCCUGGCAUGGUUAGUAGCAAGAGAAAACACACAAGAAUAUGAUCCUAUAGACUGCUAGGGAGUGGCUGUGGUGUUGUGGAAAGUCACAAAUCCGUCAAGCGAAUCUCAAAUUCUUACCAGUUCUUACCAAGUAGCAGGUGGUGAUUGGCAACCAUUGUGGUAAAAACUCUCAAAGCUUGGAUAGAGCGAUUACCAGGGAGAGUUAAACGCACGACGUAAAUGUAUGUGGAGCUGGGAAGGCUUAUAAUAUGAUAGCAAAAAGGGUCCGCAAUAAUCAAUUCAGAGAUGCAAAGUUGAAUAAGCGCUCAACGACGGUACUGUGCUGGUCCUAGGCUAGACGGUACUAGAGACACGAGCCUAGAACACUAACAAAAUCACGGCACAGCACAGAAACAAGGGAAAAGCCCACUGUGGAGUUUUUUUCGCUCUUUUUUUGCGCUCCUCUUUAUUAUUAAUUUUUUUGCAAAAAAUCACUAUAAUGGCGAGUGUCUCAAAACUCUUCCCAAGUCAAAAUAACAGGAUAGGCACAAUUGUUUUUCGACUUUUUUUCUGGAAAUCAGGGCAGCGACGACGAAAAAAUGUCACAAAAAAUCACUAUGAUGGCGAGUGUCUCAAAACGCUCCCUGGGCCUAAAAACAGGAUAGAAAAAAUAUUUCAAUCACCAAAAUUUUGGCCUAAAAACUGCCCAGGGUUCUCCAGACCCUUUUUUCGUAACCUACUCAGGCAAGGAAACAUGAAUCGGAAAAUAGAUGGAUCUUGAAAACAAACCUAAUAUGAAAAGAACUCGGAUUGGUGGUGGAUAUAUGGUGGUAGGAUAUGGCAGUGGUGGUGGUAUAUGGCAACGGUGGUUGGAUAUGACAACGGUGGUGGUAUAUGGUAGCGGUGGUAGGAUAUGGCAACGGUGGCAGUGGUGGUAUAUGGUAGCGGUGGUAGGAUAUGGCAGCGGUUUUGGUAUAUGGCAGCAGCGAUGAAGAUGGUGCAGCGGCGGCGUGACAAACUGUGACAGAACUCGAAACUGUAAAGGACUAGUUGCUAAGACCAGCAACUAGACACGACGAUGCACCCGCAAAUUCAACAAAGCAAAACCCUAAAAAGAUUAUGCAAAGGCUCAGAUUGGUUCGAAUAUGAUGAACUAACCCUAAAUUUUUUUUGGCUUUUUCAUGGACUAUAGGUAUGAAGAACAGACUCGAUCUAAACUACGAGAAACUGUAAAAUCUCACCGAGCAACCUGGAAAUCUGAUACCACUUGAUAGAGGCAAAGGUGUUCCGUCUUUCAGUCCACCGGCCACCUUCCAGUGCCUCAUGAUUGCAAUCUGCAGUAAGUAUGUGCGCAAGUUUGUUAUCAUUUUUCUGGAUGACAUCCUCGUCUUUAGUGAAACUGAUAGAGUAAAGGUGUCCCGUCUUUCGAUGAGAUGGUGACUAUCAUUUUUGGUGGAGUAGACUUUGACGAUCCGACUACGAACAUGCGAGGACAUCGCGCCUUAGCAAUCACUAAACCAACUUCGAGAGGUUAUUGACCACACCGGAGCACGAUCAACCUGACCACGAAGGAAUAUUUCCCGCAAGCAAACGAAGAACAAUCAAGAAACUGAAAUUGCAAUCUGGAUAUUGCGAAUAUAAGACGAAAGCUUUAUUAAUGAAGGUGGGGUUCUGUUGAGGAUAUAGACCUGGGGGUCACCCGCCAGGAGGGCCGGGUUACUCCAAGGAUCAUUACCAGAAGCCCGGAGCUAAGUUUCAGGAUAAUGGGCCAGAGAUGGGCUGAGACCCGGAUAUGGCUUAAAGCCCGUAGUUACAAUCAUUGUUAUAGUAGACUUGUAGUGUAAGGCAAGUAUUGUUUUAGAGCCCGAGCCGGACACUCUUAUGAGCCGGCUCGGGACUCUAAGGGCUGCUGGGCGUCAGCCUCCCUAUAUAAAGGGACGACCCGGCAGCGGUUUGACGACGACAACAAUCUCUCCGAGAGCCGGGAUAAGUGUUUAGUUCCCUGGCGAUCGUAACCCUAAUCAAUAACACCUCGAACUGGACGUAGGCUUUUACCUUCACCGUAAGGGGCCGAACCAGUAUAAACCCUCGUGUUCCUUGUCCCGCAUAACCCCUUCAAGCUUCCUAGUUGCGAUGGCUCCACGACUAAGUCCUAGCCCAAGGACAUCUGCCGUGACAAUUCCACGACAGUUGGCGCCCACCGUGGGGCCAGCGCACGGUGGAUUUGAGUUCUUGAAGGGCAGCUUCGAAGGGCUCAAGGGAUACGUUGUGGGCCGGAUGACCAAGAGUCGUCGCGGCAGGCUCUACAUCGACGACGCGGACUGGGGCCCCGACGCCGGCUCAGUGGAGUACGGGUACCGGGUCCCCUUUGGCGGAAUUCAUAUCUUCAUUGGCAAGAUUGGUGAGCCGGGCCCCGAGCCGGGUCUCUGCGCCGAUCUCAUCGAAACGGCUCAGCGCGCCCGAUCCGCCCGGGCCCGGCCUGCCUUAAAACGUGCUUUUGUGGGAUGCAUCCAUGGAAGGCCCUCCGAUCCAUCCGGGUCUGGGGAUGAGGCGGCCGCCGGCUCUGAUGGCGAGUCGGCCGCUGAUGAGUCAAACUCGUUGUACCAACUUCAAGAUGGCAGGCUCAUGAGUUAUUCCGAUGGCAACAGUAUUCCGGACCUUUUUGAGCCGCCAAGUCAGGUCGGAGUUUUUAUGGCUGGUGCGCAGCCUGUUCAGAACCCCGCUACCGGAUCAGAAAAUCCGGAGCCUUCCCCGGCUCAGGUGCUGAUGGAUCUCACAGAUAAGAUGACGGCCCUGUUAACUGCCACGGUUGACCCGGCAGAUCAAGCCCAGCAUGACGCGGAGGUGGCACAGUUAAAAUUGGAUCUGAUGAAAGCAAAAGAGGAUCUUGCAGCAGAAGGGAUCAGGCUGGCGGCGGAGCGGGCGGCUCUCGACGCCCGGGCUCAGUUGAUUCAGGCGCAGUCCUUCCAACUCACGAUGGAUCAGAACGCGGCCAACGAGGUCAUGAGAAGGAGGCAUCAGAAGGCCCAGUCUCGACUCCCGCCGGUUUACGAUCCGCGCAAUCUAUUCAACACGCCGGGUGCGGGAUCCAGUAACCCACCAGGGGUCAUUGCGCCCGGGUCAGGACCCCUUAUUCAGCCACUAGUAAUGGGGCCUCCCCAGGCGCCCCCUGCCCCGCCUCAGUAUGUGCCAAUACCCCCGGGUCAUUACGAUAACCCGCUGGAGAACAUGGUAGCAGCGGCAGCACGACUGGCGGCUCUUCCCGUUGACGGCAAUUCUCCGGCAGCCGUGGAAACCCGCCGGGUCAGGGAACUCCUGCAGACGGCCCUAGCGCAGCAAGAGGCGUACUCCUACAGCCGGGACAGGAUCCACUCAACUCCUCGACCAGGCCAGAGCCCGAGUUACAGCCGGCACAUGGUCUCGGCGACCGGCUCAAGUAAUGUCCGACGCCAUGGCCCGGCUCAUGUUGGAACCUUCUACGCCGCAGACCAAGCACGGCAAGAGGCGGAGCAGGUGCCGCAAUUGACGGCUUAUCAGACCCCCCCGGCUUAUCCAACGGCGUCCGUUGAUGUGGGUAUUUCUACCAGGACCGGGGGUGUCCCUUGUUUGGUGCCGGCCAUCCGUAAUGAACGUUUACCUAAGGAUUUCAAGGGCCCUAGGAAGGUGCCUAACUAUACAGCUGACUUACAGCCGGCGGCCUGGAUUGAGAGUUAUGAGAUGGCCAUGGAACUGCUAGAGGUCAGCGAGGCGGCCAUGGCCAAAUAUUUCACCAUGAUGUUAGAUGGAACUGCCCGCACGUGGUUAAAAGGGCUGCCACCGAACUCCAUUGGGUCUUGGACUGAGCUGAAGGCCCGGUUCAUUCAAAACUUCAAGGAUACCUGUAGGCAGUCUAUGUCAAUUGUGGAUUUGACUAACUGUAAGCAGCAGGAGGGCGAGUCCACGACCCAUUGGGUUCGCCGGGUCAAGGAGAUCAUACAUUCAUCAGAUAAGAUGGACGCCGGCUCUGCAGUCUUGAUGUUAGAACAGAACUGUCGUUUUGUGCCCCUAAAGAUGAAGCUUGGGCGGCUUAAACGUGACUGCACGGAUAUGGGCACACUAAUGGCGGCUCUUGUCAAAUAUGCUGAUUCCGAUGGUACCAAGGAUCCCCCUUCAGAUGAUGAAAGGACAGGGAAGGGAAAGAAGAACGGCAAUGGAAAGAGCCCUCAGUUUAACCCGGGGAAUCAAGGAGGAGGCAAGCGCAAGGCCGAUGGCAGCCUGGAGUUCGUAGCCAACACCCAAGGCAACAACCAGCGACGCAAGGGGAGGCCCCCUCCCCGAGGCGGCGGGUCAGGACCUUCUCUGGAGCAGCUGUUGAAUGGACCUUGUCCGAGACACGGCUCUAGAGAGAAGCCAGCGACUCAUCUGUGGAAGGAUUGUGCUAUCAUGAAGGCCUUUAAAAACUACAAUGGCCCGGGCGGCGGCCCAGGCGCAGGCGGCUCCGGCGCUGGCGGCUCUCAUGGCCCGGGUGGCGGGUCAAAUUCCGGUCCUCAGAACGGUCAAGGGGGCUUCAAUCAACAGUCUGGUCAGGGUCAUCAACAGCAACAGGGGGGUUAUCAGACCAACCCGAAGCAACUUAGCGGUGGACAGUAUCACGUGUUCACCACUAGUUUGUGCAAACGAGACGAGAAGCUUCACAAGAGGGCUGUUAAUUCUGUUGAGCCGGCGGUUCCACGCUACUUACGGUGGUCGGAGCAGCCCAUAGUGUGGAGUAGGGAGGAUCACCCUCCCCGGGUGGAUAACCCGGGCCACCUGGCCUUAGUAGUGGCUCCUCAGGUGGGAGGCUAUAAGUUCACAAAGGUACUCAUGGAUGGAGGCAGCAGUAUCAACAUCCUCUAUUAUGAGACUUUCCGUCGUAUGGGGCUAGUUGAUAAGAACCUCAGCCAGUCAAAUACUAUCUUCCAUGGUGUGGUACCCGGUAAGUCGGCUUAUCCAGUCGGCAAGAUCGAAUUGGAAGUGGCUUUUGGUGAUGAAAACAACUACAGGGUGGAGAAGUUGACCUUUGAGGUGGUCAAGAUAAGAAGUCCAUACCAUGCUAUAUUCGGACGGCCGGCUUACGCCAAGUUCAUGGCACGACCGUGUUAUGUGUACUUACAGCUCAAGAUGCCGGGUCACAAUGGGACCAUUACAGUUCACGGCAGCCGGAAGGUGGCUCUGGAGUGUGAGGAAGGUGACGCGGCUUAUGCAGAGUCUGUUUGUGCCACAGAAGAGUUGAAAUUUUAUAAAGACAAUGUUGACCCAACAGAUAUGACCUCUCUGAAAAAGCCAACCACGGAGAAUGAACCAGCAAUGAAGUUUAAAUCAGCCGAUGAGACUAAACUUGUUGAUUUUGUUCCAGGUGACUCGUCUCAGCAGUUCAGCAUCAGUGCAAAUCUGGACCCGAAAUAGGAAGGCGCGCUCAUCGAGUUCAUCCGUGAGAAUAGGGACAUCUUUGCAUGGAAACCUUCUGACAUGCCAGGUGUACCUAGAGAACUCGCUGAGCACACUCUCAAUGUGGAUCCAAAAUUUAAGCCGGUCAGGCAGUUCCUUCGACGGUUUAACGAAGAGAGGCAGAAGGCUAUUGGUGAAGAAGUGGCCCGGCUUUUGGCGGCCGGGUUCAUUGUUGAGGUUUUUCACCCAGAGUGGUUGGCUAACCCGGUGCUCGUACUUAAAAAGAACGGCACCUGGCGGAUGUGUGUGGACUACACGGACUUGAACAAGGCGUGUCCGGCUGAUCCUUUUGCUCUCCCCUGCAUCGAUCAAAUCAUUGACGCCACGGCAGGUUGUGCACGCUUAAGUUUCUUGGAUGCUUAUUCCGGGUAUCAUCAGAUUAAGAUGGCAGUUAAGGACCAGGAGAAGACGGCGUUCAUCACUCCCUUUGGAGCCUUCUGCUAUGUGUCUAUGCCCUUUGGACUCAAGUGUGCACAGGCGACUUACCAGCGUUGUGUGCAGAAUUGCCUUCAUAAGCAGAUCGGGCGCAAUGUUCACGCUUACGUGGACGACAUUGUGGUUAAAUCCAUCAAGGAGGAAACCCUGAUAGAUGACUUAAGGGAAACCUUCAACAAUCUCCGGGUCUAUAAGAUGAUGCUUAACCCGGCCAAAUGUGUUUUUGGUGUUCCUGCAGGCAAACUAUUGGGCUUCUUGGUUUCUGACAGGGGCAUUGAGGCUAACCCAGAGAAGAUCAAAGCUAUUACUUCUCUAGCUCAGCCGGCAUGUAUAAAUGACGUUCAGCGUUUGGCGGGUCGCAUCGCUGCGUUAAGCCGGUUUACAAGCCGUUUGGGUGAGAAGGCUAUGCCCUUAUAUCAAUUGAUGAAGAAAACUGAUAACUUUGUCUGGAAUGAUGCAGCUAAUACCGCCUUCGAGGAUUUGAAAAAGCAACUGGCAGAGCCCCCUGUCCUUGCUGCUCUGGUUGAUAAGGAGCCCUUGCUACUGUAUGUAGCGGCAAACGCACGAGCGGUCAGCGUGGCUAUUGUGGUGGAGCGCAAGGAGGCAGGUAAGGAGCAUCCGGUUCAGCGGCCGGUUUAUUAUGUCAGUGAGGUGCUCAUUGAGUCCAAGCAGCGGUAUCCGCAUUGGCAGAAGCUCGUAUAUGGGGUAUUUAUGGCGAGCCGGAAGCUUAAGCAUUACUUUCAAGGUCAUCCCAUCACUGUGGUCAAUUCCGCCCCUCUCGGUGAUAUUAUCCAGAACAGAGAGGCUACAGGGAGAAUUGCUAAGUGGGCUAUAGAACUUGGACCUCAUGACCUCAAAUAUGUGCCACGCACUGCUGUUAAGUCUCAGGCCUUGAUAGAUUUCAUCAAUGAUUGGACAGAGUCACAAGUACCCGAGCAAAAGCCGGAUAACACUUAUUGGACUAUUCACUUUGAUGGGUCCAGGCAGCUGGAGGGCUCGGGGGCUGGUGUGGUCUUGGCUUCCCCUAAAGGUGACAAGUUCCAUUAUGUGCUACGGUUGAUGUUUCCUUGCACUAAUAAUGCGGCUGAGUACGAGGCUUUGCUCCACGGUCUUCGGGUGGCUAAGGAGAUGAGCUUAAGCCGGCUGAGGUGUUUUGGUGACUCAGACUUGGUGGCUCAACAAGUAUCAGGCACCUGGGAUUCUAAGGAUCCUCUAAUGGCGGCUUAUCGCCGCAAGGUUGAUGCCAUUGCCGGGCACUUUCAGGGAUAUCAAGUGGAGCACAUCGACCGCAGGAAGAAUGAGGCGGUGGAUGCUUUAAGCCGGCUCGGCUCUCAGCGAAAGCCGGUGCCGCCUAACACUUUCCUGGAUGUCCUAUAUAACCCUUCGGUUAAGUUGCCUACAGAGGAGGACUUGGCUAUCCCUGACCCGGAGGCACGACUGGUGGCGGCUCUUCAUAUCACACCAGGCUGGACAAUGCCAUAUCUGGCUUAUAUAACCCGGGGAGAGUUGCCUGAGGAUGAAAUUCUGGCCAGGCAAAUAACCCGGCGGGCUAAGUCAAUGAUUGUUAUCGAUGGCGAGUUGCAUCAUCGCAGUGUUUCAGGGGCAUUCCAGCGUUGUAUCUCCCCUGAGGAAGGUCAAGAGAUCUUGCGCGAGAUCCAUGAAGGGGAUUGUGGCCAUCAUGCCGGUUCAAAAUCUCUUGUGGCCAAGGCUUUCCGUCAUGGUUUUUAUUGGCUGACGGCUCACGCUGAUGCAGAGGACUUGGUCAGUAAAUGUGAUGGCUGCCAAAGGUUCUCCCGACGGGCUCAUGUGCCGGCUCAGGAAUUGAGGAUGAUCCCGAUCACUUGGCCCUUUGCGGUCUGGGGGCUUGAUAUGGGCGGGCCUUUUAAACGGUCCAAGGAUAAGAAGACCCACCUCUUGGUGGCAGUGGACAAAUUCACGAAGUGGGUGGAAGCUGAGCCAGUUAGCAAGUGCGAUGCAGCCACGGCGGUUCAAUUUAUGAAAAAGGUGAUCUUCCGCUUCGGCUUUCCACACAGCAUCAUAACAGACAACGGCACUAAUCUGUCCAAAGGCGCCAUGGAGGAGUUUUGUCAAAGAGAGCAUAUCCGGCUUGAUGUCUCUUCAGUGGCACACCCCCAAUCCAAUGGUCAAGCUGAGAGAGCUAACCAGGAGAUUCUGAAGGGCAUUAAACCCCGGCUCUUGGUCCCUUUGCAACGGACGCCAGGUUGUUGGGUGGAGGAGUUGCCCUCCGUUUUAUGGAGCAUCAACACUACUCCUAACAGGUCUACAGGCUUCACGCCUUUCUUCAUGGUUUAUGGAGCAGAAGCAGUUCUCCCCAGCGACAUCCGUCAUGAUUCACCUCGUGUGGCGGCUUAUGUUGAGACGGAUAAUGAACAGGCGCGCCGAGAUGCUCUGGACUUGCUGGACGAACAGCGUGAUGUGGCAGCCGCCCGUUCAGCGAUUUACCAACAAGACCUGCGCCGUUAUCAUAGCCGCCGGGUUAAAUCCCGGGUCUUCCAGGAGGGCGACCUGGUGCUCCGGCUCAUCCAGGAUCAAACAGAUGCACACAAGUUAUCCCCACCUUGGGAAGGGCCUUUUGUGGUCAGUAAGAACUUGCACAACGGGUCAUAUUACCUCAUUGAUAUCCGGGAGCAUAAGGACUCACGUAAAUCUGAGGAGGAGACCCGUCGGCCGUGGAACAUAGCUCAGCUUCGGCCUUACUACACUUGAGCUUCCGACUCUUGUGAUGUACAUAUUUAUCUCAGCCAUGUAUAUAUUAUGAUAAAGCAAUAAAGCAGGACCUCUGUCCUUUGCUCUCUUCCAAAAAUGUGUGUUGUUACAUGCUGACUUACAGAAGAUCCGGCUUAUGAUCAUCUUUGAAUCUAGCUGUAAGCAGUAAAAAGUCGCUUGGGGGCUUCCUGUUCACACAUGGGUCGUAUUCGAACCAAAGAGAACAUAGCUGUCGAUACCCAUUUGAUUGGCAAAGUGCCGAGCUCAUUGGGAAGUUGCCUCUGGUCAUAUUUGAAUCAUAGUGUAACCCCUCUGAGAACCGACGUGGAUCGUAUUCGAAUCAGCGUCGUUAAACAAAUUUUUAGAAUCACUUGGGGACUUCCUGUUCAAACAUGGGUCGUAUUCGAACCAAAGAGAACAUAGCUGUCGAUACCCUCUUGAUUGGCAUCGCCAAACCCACUGGGGGCUAUAUGAUCGUAUCCGAAUCUUAGCUUAACCCCUUUGGACCGAGUUUCUGGUCGUAUUCGAACCGGAAGCCCUUAAGUUUUUAUAUUUUACCACAAACUUGCUUUGAUCAUGUCAAAGUAUGUACUGCCGGGUUUCACUUGCCGGCUUAAUUUUGGUUUAUCUUGUUAGUUGAGCAUCAUGGAUGUCAUCAAGACAAAUAAAUUCGAGUUAAGGUACCAACCGUGCUACCCGGGCUAUUUAACCCGGAAGUAUGCUUACAGGCUGUUAAGUGUGUCAUCACAGCUAUGUUCGAGUAUAGUUAAGGACCGAUCUUUUUUGGUUCGUAUCCCGGGUUAUCCAUCUCAAACACCUGAUUCUCAGGGCGGUAAGCCACUUUGCGACUUGUAAUUUGCCUUUCUAUGCAGAUAUUUAAAGGCACUUUUUAAGGUUGAGAAGGACAAAGGGAUAAUUCCGACCCGGAGGAGCAUCAAAAGAAUGACUUCAAAGGAUUUCAGCAUUCAUUACGUGCACGAUGGCACGGCAGAGAUAAAUUGUUGCACCUGCUCUAUUACAAAAAUCUUUCAAAGUUUCAAGGAUGGGCGUUGUUUGGUGAGCCACUAGCCGGUUUAUGACGCUUGCUGAGUUGAAGUCCCCGGCUCAUCUUCUGCUUCGGCUGAUCCCAAGGCUUCGAAGGUCGACGACUUCCAGUUGAUGCCGCUGAGAGCUUCGAACUGAGCUUCUUCGUCAAUUAACCCGUCCGGGUUAAUCUCCGGGGCAAAGGUGUGCUGGCGAGCCGGAGGAAUCAGAUUGAUGGCUUCAUAGCGAGGGGUUGGAAUCCUCUGAUUCUCCGCGUUGUAUCCCGGCUGAUACUUGGUUAAAUCGGUGUCGUUCCCGAUGAUGGUGGCCACCGGGCGCACAGCUUUCACACAAGCCGCGAAGUCCUUCUGGUCGAACGCUGAGCCGUCUUCUUUCAGGCUGGGAUAACCCAGGGCGAUGUCUGCCGGGUCUAGCUCCGGCAAGAAGGCUUUGGCCCGGCUCAGUGCGGCGAUUGCUCCGGAUCUCGCGGAUGCUCGUCGUAGCUCCUGGAUCCGCUGCGGCAGAAUUGCGAGCCGGCGCAGGACUUCGGCCAGAUGAGUCGGCACUUCAUUCGACAGGGCCACCACAGCUAAAGCCCGCUGUGACCCGGUGUAGAGCUGUUCCACCAGGGUGUACACGGCCUUUAACUUGGUGACCACGCUCUGGUUCAAGUUGGCGCUUCUGGAACCUGUUUAACAACAUCAGAUGACCCGGUGGUAAGGAUGAGUUAAGAGAUGUAAACAUUCCAAUGUGAAUGAAAGCCGGUGAGGCGACUUACCGAAGAUGGCAGCUACCAUUUGGGACACUUGGCGCUUUAGACCGGAGAGCUCAGCGGUCUUCUCAGUAAGGGCCUUCUCCGCCUGUUCUGCCCGGGUCACCAGUGCAGUUUUCUCCUCAGCCCAGGCCUUCCGCUCAGCGUCGAAUUCAGUCUUCAACUUUUCCUGAGCGGCGAUGCUGGAGACAAACUUGGCAUUUGCCUUCCGGGUCUCCACCUCUUGUGCCUUCAGCCGGCUCUUGAGAUCCGCCAGGUCUGACUCUAAUUUCUUGCCAACAGCCUGCAUAUAUUUCCGGGUUAUUAACAGUCAUCCUAUAAAGUCCCAAGCGCUUUCCAAGCAAAGACACUUGGCACUUGGGGGCUAAUGCAUAUUGAACGCAUCUAUCUAUGUACGGCCGGCUCAGUUCAGUAAGCCGGAAUCUAAAGUCUACAACAUAUUCAAGUAUAAGUCCUAGACUUGGGGGCUAGAAUGGCAAGGAUCACUAUGCGGAAAGUAAGAGAACAGCAGAAGGUUACCUCAGAUUUGUGUUGGAUCUGGUUGACCAUGGCGAUCUCGGCGUCCCGGCUCUUGUGAACCUGGCUGAUAUAGCCUGAGACGAGUUCUCCGAUACUUAAGUCGGUGUAGCUGGAGAGAUCCAGAUUCACCCGGUGGGGUUGUAGCAACUCCCCCCUUGCGGAGCAUUUGGCCAGCGCGGUCGGCCUUCCCGGCUCAACAAACUCCGUCCGGGUAAUUACCACGUCCGGGUCAUUAGAUGGUGGGGCUUCAGGCGCCGUAUCCAUGGGAAUGGUGGCUUCAGGGGUGGAGGCGACUGGCGGCUCUUGAGCCGUCGUCUCCGGCUCAGGCAAGUCGGGCACUCCAGCUGACCUGGUCUUCUUUACUCUUUUGGUGAGCUUUGCCUGGGCACUGAAAAGGCAGAAGUGUUAGGCAUACAAAGGGUAAGUACAGACAGAUAAUGUAAGGAGAUUGUUAUUACCCGGGGGCAGUCUUGAAGGCCGGCAGACUUGACUGCAUGGAGUCACCCGAGGAGGGGGAGGUCUCCUGGUAAUUGGAGUCAGAAGAGUUGAGUGGCUGACGGAUGACACCCGCCAACGGAUGAAAAGGGUACAGGUGAGAAAAAACCUCAGUGCGGCGUUUCCUCGUUGCGUCGGGUAACCCAGUGGAGAGGUCGGUGUCCUUGCGGGCCCGGGUGUGACGCCGGCUCUCGUGAACCUGCUGCUUCAAAAGAAAUUGAGGGUCUCGGUGAGCUAAUCGAUGGGAAAAGCUUACUUUCCGGGUUACCCUUCGGACUUUCAGCUGUGGUAAAGGCUCCGAGCCGGAGGAAAGUGAUGUUACCUCUUCGACCACCGGGUUACUGGCGCCGGUGUCAUCCUGUCAAUAAGCAAGUGUUGAUAAGGCGGACAGCAUCAGACAACAUAUACUGCAAGAAUUUAAAAGAUUUAAGGGUUACCUCUGAUUCGGAGCUAUCGCUUAAUUGCAGCAGCUCCGAAGCAGUGGGUCUGUUUCCCUUUUUGCGAGGGGCGGCUCUCUUGGCGGCUUUCUUUGCCUUCCUGGCCUUCUUGGCCGCCUCGUGGUCAUACUUGACCCGCCAGAAUUUAUCAUCAGCCUGAGAAAUACAGUAAUGAGCUCUUAGUAAGAUGGCAGGUAAAACAAAAUGGAAAGGUUAAAGUCAGCGGCUUACCGCUGGGGCUGGAUUGGUCUUGCAGAACGGGGCUAGCCCGAUUCUUCCACAGUCUGCCAGGCUCUCGUUUAAAAGAGCCUUGGUCUCUUCUUCAGCAACGUCUUCUGGAAGAUCAUUGCGACUGUGCCUCUGCGGGUCAUCCUUUCGCCCGGUGUACUCACACAUUAAGCCGGGGCGGCGGCUCAAUGGGAUCACCCGCCAUGAGAUCCAGACCCGGACCAGGUCAAUUCCGUUCAGACCAUUGCCUAGCAGGGCUUUGAUCUUGUUGAUCGUUGGAAGCAGAGGCUGGCGUUCUGCGGCAGUCAGUUUGUCGGAUAAUGGAUGAGUUGGCUCCAGGCGCGUUGGGCGAAAGCCGGGCAGCGGGCUCUCAUCAGCCGGGGAUGUGUCUUGGCAGUAGAACCAAGUCAUGUUCCAGUCCUUGGGGUGACUUGGCGGUUCUGCAUAAGGGAACAGACAAUCCCUGCGCCGUUGGAUGGAGAUGCCGCCUAACUCUAGACUUGGACCGUUUGCGCACUCGGUUUGGCGGUUCAAAUAGAACAGCUCUCUGAAGAGCAGCAGACUCGGCUCUUCUCCAAGGUAUACUUCACAAAAAACUUGGAAGUUGUAGAUGUUGGAUAUGGAAUUGGGUCCUAUAUCCUGAGGCCGAAGAUCAAAGAAGUUGAGCACGUCCCGGAAGAAUUUUGAGCCGGGCGGUGCGAAGCCCCGGCUCAUAUGGUCGGCAAAGAUCACUACCUCCCCGUCUCUCGGCUGUGGCCUUUCUUCGGACGGGUCAGGGGCACGGUAGGACAUCACUUCCUUCUUAGGCAGAUAUCCGGAUUUAACGAAGUUGGCCAGGGUCUCUUCGGUGACGCUGGAUUUCAUCCAGUUGCAAGUGAUGGGAGCCUUGGGAGGCAUGGUGACGGUUGGUGGUCUACGAGGAAGAGAAAAGUGUCCGGGUUAAUUAUAAGCCGGAGUAUAUCAUUCAAGUUACAAUGACGGCCUAUGAAGGGGACUAAUGGUAUGUCUUGAUACGGUGGGUUAUCUAAGCCGUCGGGGUUUUCAGGAUAAGUUGGUCGUCUACGGCUUACUGCGGUUAAGUCGGAAGAUACUACAGAGCAUGAUUCUCUUUAAACCGGAAAGUUCUACGGCGCGUGUUUUCUCUAAGUCGGAAAUAUAAGCCGCCAAGAUUCAAGGACUGUAGUUUUUACUAAGUGUGGUAAACAGAUUUCACAUAUUACAGUAACUUUUUUGGAUCAAAGUAGUCGGAGCAGAGAAAGUUUUCUAGACCUAAAAAACAGAAGCAGGGGAGGUUCUUGAGAUGGAACCCAGUCCUUAUGCAGUAAAAAGAGGUGUUCUUGCAGAAGAAAUGAACCUCAGAUAUCUACCGCGGUGGUUCUACACAAGCCUAAGGAUCAACGGGGGCAGUGGCUACAGGGGUUACCGAGACUUGCGGUAACAGUGAUGAACAUGAAGAACACAGAUGAACUCUGUCCUAGAUCUAUGCUAGUAAGGCAGAAGGGACUCACCGGAGCUGGAGAAGAGCGGAGGUCGCCGACGUUAUCUGGUCCGAGUCAGGUUGAUGCAGCGGCCGGGUUGAGGAAGACCAGGGGUGCGACGGCGGCGGCGGCAGAAGCUCGGGCAGAGGAACGGCAGUGCGAGGAAGAAGAAGGAGAAUGUGAAGAAGAGAGUGCCGGGCCGGCCUAUUUAUAAGGCCGAGUCAUAAGCGGGCGCGGGAUUUGAGGAGGCCACGGCGUGGUUAUCUCCCCCCUCACGGCGCCUCGAUUUUCGGAAGGUCAGUAAAAGCAAAGAUCCGUUGCGGAUCUGGCGGAGUAAAAAACGGAUUUAGUGGAGGAUGACGUCACGGCGGAUUACCCGGAGUCCAGAGGAUGACGUCACUCCGGGUUAUGACCUUCACAUGAAUGAUAAGCCGGAGAUUUUUUCUGACUGCGGAGCUGAAGAUUGACACGAGCCGGCUCAAGUCAAUCUGGGGCCUAAUGUUGAGGAUAUAGACCUGGGGGUCACCCGCCAGGAGGGCCGGGUUACUCCAAGGAUCAUUACCAGAAGCCCGGAGCUAAGUUUCAGGAUAAUGGGCCAGAGAUGGGCUGAGACCCGGAUAUGGCUUAAAGCCCGUAGUUACAAUCAUUGUUAUAGUAGACUUGUAGUGUAAGGCAAGUAUUGUUUUAGAGCCUGAGCCGGACACUCUUAUGAGCCGGCUCGGGACUCUAAGGGCUGCUGGGCGUCAGCCUCCCUAUAUAAAGGGACGACUCGGCAGCGGUUUGACGACGACAACAAUCUCUCCGAGAGCCGGGAUAAGUGUUUAGUUCCCUGGCGAUCGUAACCCUAAUCAAUAACACCUCGAACUGGACGUAGGCUUUUACCUUCACCGUAAGGGGCCGAACCAGUAUAAACCCUCGUGUUCCUUGUCCCGCAUAACCCCUUCAAGCUUCCUAGUUGCGAUGGCUCCACGACUAAGUCCUAGCCCAAGGACAUCUGCCGUGACAAUUCCACGACAGGUUCUGUGACGUCUUGGUCUGGUCACUGAACACAAACGAAGGACGCAAACUUGCAGCUAUAGCAAACUUUUAAUCUAAACCAAACCCAAAGUCUAAAUGACGCCCUAAGGGCUGUAUAUAUGGAGGAGUAGGGGAGAAUUUCGUGACCCCUUGUAGGAGGGGUCCGAAACCAACCCUAACUUUGUUUCCCCACACAUACGGACUCCAAAAACAGCCUAUACUUAUGUAUUUUAAAUUAAAUAGGCCUGCUGAUACGUCUCCAACGUAUCUAUAAUUUUUUAUUGUUCCAUGCUAUUAUAUUAUCUGUUUUGGCUGUUUUAUAUCCAUCAAUAUGCUAUUUUAUAUGAUUUUUGGGACUAACCUAUUAACCUAGAGCCCAGUGCCAGUUCCUGUUUUUUCCUUGUUUUUGAGUUUCGCAGAAAAGGAAUACUAAACGGAGUCCAAAUGGAAUGAAACUUUCGCGAUGAUUUUUCUUGGACCAGAAGACAUCCAGAGGGCUUGGAGUGCAUGUCAGGAAAGCCACGAGGCGGCCACAAGGUCGGGAGGCGCGCCCAGGGGUAGGGCGCGCCCCCACCCUUGUGGGCCCCUCGUGACUCAAGCGACCUAUUUCUUCCGCCUAUAUAUUCUCAAAUACCCCAAAACCUGCCAGGGGAGCCAUGAAACCACUUUUUCACCGCCGCAACGUUCUGUACCCGUGAGAUCCCAUCUAGGGGCCUUUUCCAGCGUCCUGCAAGAGGGGGAUUCGAUCAUGGAGGACUUCUCCAUCAACACCAUUGCCUCUCCGAUGAAGCGUGAGUUUACCACAGACCUGCGGGUCCAUAGCUAGUAGCUAGAUGGCUUCUUCUCUCUCUUUCAUUCUCAAUACCAUGUUCUCCUCGAUGUUCUUCGAAAUCUAUUUGAUGUAAUACUCUUUUGAAGUGUGUUUGCCGAGAUCCGAUGAAUUGUGGAUUUAUGAUCAGCUUAUCUAUGAAUAUUAUUUGAAUCUCCUCUAAAUUCUUAUAUGCAUGAUUUGAUAUCUUUGCAACUCUCUUUGAACUAUCGAUUUGGUUUGGCCAACUAGAUUGGUUUUUCACAACAUUAGAUACUCUUUUCACAACAUGAUUUGAUAUCUUUGCAAGUCUCUUCGAACUAUGGAAAAGUUGGAAUACAGUAGAUACUACACCAAUGUAAAUAAACAAUGAGUUCACAACAUUACCUAAAGUGGUGAUUUAUUUCCUUAUACUAACGGAGCUUAUGAGAUUUUCUAUUGAGUUUUGUGUUGUGAAAUUUUCAAGUUUUAGGUACGGAUUUGAUGGACUAUGGAAUAAGGAGUGGCAAGAGCCUAAGCUUGGGGAUGACCAAGGCACCCCAAGAUAAUAUUCAAGGAUGCUAAGAGCCUAAGCUUGGGGAUGCCCUCGAAGGCAUCACCUCUUUCGUCUUCGUCUAUCCGUAACUUUACUUGAGGCUAUAUUUUUAUUCACCACAUGAUAUGUGUUUUUCUUGGAGCGUCUUGUAUGAUUUGAGUCUUUGCUUUUUAGUUUGCCACAAUCAUCCUUGCUAUACACACCUUUUGAGAGAGACACGCAUGAAUCGUGAUUUAUUAGAAUACUCUAUGUGCUUCACUUAUAUCUUUUGAGCUACGCAAAUUUGCUCUAGUGCUUCACUUAUAUCUUUUUAGAGCACGACGGUGGAUUUAUUUUAUAGAAAUUGAUGGACUCUCGCACUUCACUUAUAUUAUUUUGAGAGUCUUUAAAACAACAUGGUAAUUUGCUUUGGUUAUAAAAUUAGUCCUAAUAUGAUAGGCAUCCAAGAGGGAUAUAAUAAAAAAUCAUAUAAAGUGCAUUGAAUACUAUGAGAAGUUUGAUUCCUUAUGAUUGUUUUGAGAUAUGAAGAUGGUGAUAUGAGAGUCAUGCUAGUAAGUAGUUGUGAAUUUGAGAAAUACUUGCGUUAAGGUUUGUGAGUCCUAUAGCAUGCACGUAUGGUGAACCGUUAUGUAACGAAGUUGGAGCAUGAGAUAUUUUUUGAUUGUCUUCCUUAUGAGUGGCGGUCGGGGAUGAGCGACGGUCUUUUCCUACCAAUCUAUCCCCCUAGGAGCAUACGCGUAGUACUUUGUUUCGAUGACUAAUAGAUUUUGCAAUAAGUAUGUGAGUUCUUUAUGACUAAUGUUGAGUCCAUGGAUUAUACGCACUCUCACCUUUCCGCCAUUCCUAGCCUCUCUAGUACCACACAACUUUCGCCAGUACCAUACACCCACCAUAUACCUUCCUAAAAGCAGCCACCAUACCUACAUAUUACGGCAUUUCCAUAGCCAUUCUGAGAUAUAUUGCCAUGAAACUUUCCACCAUUUCGUUUAUUAUGACACGCAUCGUCAUUGUCAUAUUGCUUUGCAUGAUCAUGUAGUUGACAUUGUAUUUGUGGCAAAGCCACCGUUCAUCAUUUUUUACACAUGUCACUCUUGAUUCAUUGCACAUCCCGGUACACCGCCAGAGGCAUUCACAUAGAGUCAUAUUUUAUUCUAGUAUCGAGUUGUAAUUUUUGAGUUGUAAGUAAAUAAAAGUGUGAUGAUCUUAAUUAUUAGAGCAUUGUCCCAUGUGAGGAAAUAAAAAAAGGAGAGAAAAGGCCAAAUAAAAAAAGGCCCAAAAAAUGAGAGAAAAAGAGAGAAGGGACAAUGUUACUAUCCUUCUACCACACUUGUGCUUCAAAGUAGCACCAUGAUCUUCAAGAUAGAGAGUCUCCUAUAUUGUCACUUUCAUAUACUAGUGGGAAUUUUUCAUUAUAGAACUUGGCUUGUAUAUUCCAACGAUGGGCUUCCUCAAAACACCCUAGGUCUUCAUGAGCAAGCAAGUUGGAUGCACACCCACCUAGUUUUCUUUUUGAGCUUUCAUAAACUUAUAGCUCUAGUGCAGCCGUUCCAUGGCAAUCCCUACUAACUCACAUUGAUAUCUAUUGAUGGGCAUCUCCAUAGCCCGUUGAUACGCCUAGUUGAUGUGAGACUAUCUCCUUCUUUUUGUCUUCUCCACAACCACCUUCUAUUCCACCCAUAAAGUUCUAUGUCCAUGGCUCACGCUCAUGUAUUGCGUGAAAGUUGAAAAGGUUUGAGAACAUCAAAAGUAUGAAACAAUUGCUUGGCUUGUCAUCGGGGUUGUGCAUGAUUUGAAUACUUUGUGUGAUGAAGAUGGAGCAUAGCCAGACUAUAUGAUUUUGUAGGGAUAAGCUUUCUUUGGCCAUGUUAUUUCGAGGAGACAUAAUUAUUUUGUUAGUAUGCCUGAAGUAUUAUUGUUUUUAUGUCAGUAUUAAACUUUUGUUUUGAAUCAUACGGACCUGAACAUUCAUGCCACAAUAAAGAAAAUUACAUGAAUAAACAUGUUAGGUAGCAUUCCACAUCAAAAAUUCUGUUUUAAUCAUUUACCUACUCAAGGACGAGCAGGAAUUAAGCUUGGGGAUGGUUGAUACAUCUCCAACGUAUCUAUAAUUUUUUAUUGUUCCAUGCUAUUAUAUUAUAUAUUUUGGAUGUUUUAUAUGCAUUAAUAUGCUAUUUUAUAUGAUUUUUAGGACUAACCUAUUAACCUAGAGCCCAGUGCCAGUUCCUGUUUUUUCCUUGUUUUUGAGUUUCGCAGAAAAGGAAUAUUAAACGGAGUCCAAACGGAAUGAAACUUUCGCGAUGAUUUUUCUUGGACAAGAAGACAUCCAGAGGGCUUGGAGUGCAUGUCAGGAAAGCCACGAGGCGGCCACAAGGUCGGGAGGCGCGCCCAGGGGGGUAGGGCGCGGCGCCCACCCUUGUGGGCCCCUCGUAACUCCAUGGACCUAUUUCUUCCGCCUAUAUAUUCUCAAAUACCCAAAACCCUUCUAGGGGACCACGAAACCACUUUUACACCGCCGCAACCUUGUGUACCCGUGAGAUCCCAUCUAGGGGCCUUUUCCGGCGUCCUGCCGGAGGGGGAUUAGGUCACGGAGGGCUUCUACAUCAACACCAUUGCCUCUCAGAUGAAGCGUGAGUAGUUUACCACAGACCUACGGCUCCAUAGCUAGUAGCUAGAUGGCUUCUUCUCUCUCUUUGAUUCUCAAUAACAUGUUCUCCUCGAUCUUCUUGGAAAUCUAUUCGAUGUAAUACUCUUUUGCGGUGUGUUUGCCAAGAUCCGAUGAAUUGUGGAAUUAUGAUCAGCUUAUCUAUGAAUAUUAUUUGAAUCUCCUCUGAAUUCUUAUAUGCAUGAUUUGAUAUCUUUGCAAGUCUCUUCGAACUAUCGAUUUGGUUUGGCCAACUAGAUUGUUUUUUAUUGCAAUGGGAGAAGUGCUUAGCUUUGGGUUCAAUCUUGCGGUGCUUGAUCCUAGUGAUAGAAGGGGAACCGACACGUAUUGAAUUGUUGCCAUUGAGGAUAACAAGAUGGGGUUUUCAUCAUAUUGCUUGAGUUUAUCCCGUUACAUCAUGUCAUCUUACUUAAUGCGUGACUCUAUUCUUAUGAACUUAAUACUCUAGAUGCAGGCAGGAGUCGGUCGAUGUGUGGAGUAAUAGUAGUAGAUGCAGGCAGGAGUCGUUCUACUUGAUACAGACAUGAUGCCUAUAUUCGUGAUCAUUGCCUUAGAUAUCGUCAUAACUUUGUGCUUUUCAAUCAAUUACUUGGCAGUAAUUUGUUCACCCACUGUAAUAAUUUCUAUCUUAAGAGAAGCCUCUAGUGAAACCUAUGGCCCCCGGGUCUACUUUCCAUCAUAUAAGUAUCCGAUCUACAAUUUUAGUUUCCUAUUUACUUUCUUUGCAAUCUUUUACUUUCUGUUCCAUAAACCAAAAAUACCAAACAUAAUACUUUACCAUUUAUCCAUCUCUAUCAGAUCUCACUUUGCAAAUAACCGUCAAGGGAUUGACAACCCCUUUGUCGCGUUGGGUGCAAGUUGGUGUUAGUUUGUGCAGGUAUUCAGUGGCUUGCGCGUUGUCUCCUACUGGAUUGAUACCUUGGUUCUCAAAAGUUGAGGGAAAUACUUACUCUACUUUGCGGCAUCACCCUUUCCUCUUCAAGGGAAAAACCAACGCAAGCUCAAGAGGUAGCACCUGGCCCAAUAAUAAGGUGACGCAGCACCUAUAAUAGCCUCUACACGAAAUUUGUGAACUGGCAUCUUGUAUAUUUCAUCCAAGCCUUCAUGCACUCAUUACGGUGGCUUCAAAGUCCUGAAAUCAUCACUUGAAACUCCGUUCUUGUUUCCCUUGCCGAUGCCAUCAUCUCCAUGCUUGUUCUUUCUCCAAUGUUCAUCCUUCUCCAAGCUAGGCCCUUCAUUUGUAAGCAAAACAAAUGUAUCAAAUUUAGGCAGCAUCAUAUUCUCAUGAACAUUAGAAUCAUUACCAAGAAACGAAAGUACCUGGUAAUUUAAUUGGCGUGCACAAGCUCCAGUAAUUGGUCCAGUAUGUAUAGUAGCAGGGGCUGUGGUUGUAACAAUGGUAUUGAUGUCCUCAUCAGAAACCAUGGAAGAGCACCUGGAGUACCUACACAUCAUCCUCCAGCUCCUCCGCUUCCACCAGCUGUGUUCAUCAAGGGGACCAAAUGCAGCUUCGCCUGUGACCACAUCGACUAUCUCAGGCAUGUGAUCUCCAAGGAGGGUGUCGCCACGGACAAAGAGAAGACGCAGGCCAUGGAGAAGUGCCCAACACUGACAAACGCCACCGAGCUGCGCGUUUUCCUGGGCCUCACUAGCUACUACAGGAAAUUCAGGCCGCAUUAUGGCAUCAUCCCCAAACCCCUCACGCAGCUCCUCACCAAGAAGGGUUUUGCAUGGAAUGAUCAGGCGCAAGUGGCGUUCGACACGCUCAAGACGGCGAUGACAACUACACAUGUGCUCGCCCUGCCAAACUUCGACAAGCCCUUUUCGCUCGAGACCGACGCCUGUGACUCCGGGGUCGGCGUGGUGCUCAUCCAGGAGGGCCACCCCGUCGCAUUCUUCGGCAAGGCGCCCGGUGUACGCAACCAAAAGCUCUUGAUGUACGAGAAGGAGUUCUUGGCGGUGAUGAUGGCGAUCGACAGGUGGCACCCCUACCUGCAGUGCGGCCCCUUCGACAUCCUCACCGAUGACAAGUCACUCUGCAAUCUAGGCGAGCAGUACUUGGAGACACAAUUGCAGCGCAAUGCCAUGGCAAAGCUGGUCGGUCUGCAAUUCAAAUUCCAGCACAAGUGUGGACUUGAUAAGGGCGCCGCCGACGCCCUCUCGCGUGUGGCAAGCAGCUCGAUCUGGCUGCGCUCUUAGGUGCGAGCCGGCAUGGAUUCAGGAGGUGCUCAACUCCUACUCCAUGGAUCCAGACACCCAAGAUCGCCUUCAGAAGCUCACCAUCACUAGCCCCGGCGACGACGGAUACGAGCUGCACCACGGAGUCAUCUGCUGCGACGAUCGGCUGUGGAUCGGCGCCAACACGACGCUCCGCACCAAGCUCAUCUCCGUGCUCCACAACAGCGUGGUCGGCGGCCACUCGGGCUACACGGCGACGUACCAGCGCAUGCGCAAGCACUUCGAGUGGCGCGGCCUCAAGCCUGACACCGAGAAAUUUGUGCAGCAGUGCUCGACCCGCUAGUAGGCCAAGCACGAGCACUCCAAGCCGACAGGACUUCUGGCACUGCUUCCAAUUCCUACUGCGCCAUGGGAGGAUCUCACAAUGGAUUUCGUGGAGGGGCUGCCACCAUCAGAGGGCUUUGACACGAUCAUGGUCGUGGUGGACCGCUUCACCAAGUUCGCCCACUUCAUUCCUCUGCGCCACCCCUUCCACGCGACACAAGUGGCGCGGGCGUUCUGGGACAAUGUGGUCAAGCUCCAUGGCAUUCCAACCUCAAUCGUCUCCAACCAUGACAAGGUAUUCACCAGCAAUCUCUGGCAGGAGUUGCUCGCUCGCACUGGCACCGUAUUGCUCUACUCCACCGCCUAUCACUCACAGACGACCGGGCAGAGCGAGCGCGUCAAUCAGUGCAUGGAGAUGUAUCUCCCAUGCGCAGUGCACGACAUGCCGCGCAAGUGGCGUUGCUGGCUGCCCAUGGCGGAGUUUCGGUACAACUCUGCCUUUCAUUCAUCGCUCAAUUGCACACCAUUCAAGGCACCUGUAUGACGAAGAGGCCAAGUUGGGCACGAUGGCGGCAUGGCCUGACGACGCACCCACCGGCGAUGACAUGGACUGGGCGGUGCACAUCGCGCACAUCAGAGAGCAACUGGAACGCACCCAACAAUGCUUCAACAAGCAGGACGACCGCAACCGUACGGAGAGCCAGUUCCAAGUGGGGGAAAAGUUGCUUCUGAAGCUGUAGCCCUACGUCCAGCAGUCCGUCGUCAGCCGCCCCGGUGCCAAGCUCGCCUUCAAGUUCUUCGGGCCGUACACAAUCGUCGAGAAGAUCGGACUCAUGGCGUACAAGCUCAACCUUCCGGAGUCCAGCUGCGUGCACCCACUCUUCCAUGUGUCCCAAUUCAAGCCAUUCACGUCAGAUUACAUGCCAGUGCCGCUAGUUCCUGACCUGUCUGUGGCAAGCACAGCACCCACGCGCCUCCUGGAGCGGCGCAUGAUGAAAAGGGGCAUUUUAGCAAUUGUGCAGAUCAAAGGUGCAAUGAGGUGACAGCUCUCCUCUGGCCACGACAUGGGAGGAUUACGAGGUUCUCCGACAGCGCUUUCCCGAGGCACCCAUCUGGACGACGACGAAGCAAGUACUCAAGAGGAAGCUCCAUCUUAAGGGAGGGCGUCGGCGUUCUGGGAACCGGGGUACCGAGACUUGCCUUCCUGCGGCCCAUCGUGUGGCUCCAUCGGCAGCCUGGUACGACCCAUCUUCAGCACCAACAACUCAAGACCCUCGCGCGGGGCCAAGCCUCGCGAGGCGGACGACAUCAAGACCUCUAGGAGGGGCGGCCUCCUCGGGCUAGCUCCCGAGGUGUAGAGAUUUCUAUGCAAGCCUUCACCUCAUGAGGUUCGGAUGACGCAAGCCAUGACGACCGAGGCCAGGCGGGUGCCAGCGGGCGCAGAGCAGCAGGUUUCCUCUUUGGUGCUAAGCAGGCAAGCGUAGGCGCGGAGUCCUGAGGAAUAAACUAAAGGUUUCCAUUUCCGUGCUACAAGACCACGACCGCCAGGACGGCAGGACGGAGGUCAUCGCCGAGCCCACCAUAGCGUCACGACCAGAGGCUUUGCAGGCGAAGACUACCUUUUGUCAGGAUAAGAUGUACUAGUUGUCUCCCUUCGAAUUUGGCCAUUGUGGGAUCCCUUCCCACCUUCGUUUUGGGAAGAACACAUCCGGAGCCAUUCCAUCCUCACACCCACCAGCUCACUCGAGCACAAGAACACACCUCCUAAGGUUGUUCUCCCACUGUACCAGUUCAUCCUCAGCCCACCUUGAGGCCAAUCAACCACAAAGCAGGAGUAGGGUUUUACACCGCAAGGUGGCCUGAACCUGGGUAAAUAGCCUUGUCCCCUUUCCUUCCAGUUCAUCAAGCUAGGCUGUGAGAUUGACGAGUUGGCAGACUAGGGAGGUUGAGUUCUUCGCACGCACCCCAGAGUUCGAAUCUAUCAAGGGUCUUCGGAGCCCGGAAUCCAACAUUUGGCGCACCAGGUAGGGGUGCGUGUCGAAGGGUCGCCUUCUCGUUGGCCGUGCUCCGCUCUCGCCAUCAAGCUUCCAUGGCCGACGCUGCUCCAACCGUCGCCUCGCUGGGCACACCCGGAGACGCUCCGGGCUUCCGGGCCUUCUCCCCAGCCCUUCCGCGGGUGCAGUGGCCACCGAAGUUCAAGCCGGACUUGCCACCGCGGUACGAUGGCACGACGGACCCCGUGGGGUUCGUCUAGGUGUACGAAGAGGCGGUUUGUGCAGCAGGCGGCGGCAACAAGGUCGCGGCAAACUGGCUACCCAUGGCCCUUACAGGCGUGCCUCGCGCCUGGAUCCUGGGCUUGCCAGAGUCCUCGGUGGCCUCCUGGGAGGAGCUGCGCGACCUCUUCAUCGCGCACUUCGCGGCACCAGCGCCCCACGCCGUUGCGGCACUACUUGGUGGCUCGCGAGCGCCGACCUCCGACCGCCACGUCAAGUAGUUCUUCCGCCAGAUGGGCACCGCUCACGCACAUCGGGGAGCUCCUCGGGGCUGGGCGGCGCCUAAGGCCGACCUUACCUUCGACUCAAGAGACCACCCCACGAACGCGGUCGGCACCGGCGCGCUUCCAAUGCUCUGCACCCCCACCAUCUGCAACAUGGCAGUCACCAGGACCCUCGUCGACGGCGGCGCCAGGCUCCACAUCCUCUCCAUGGAAGCAUUCGGCCUGCUUCACGUGCCCCACGGCCGGCUCCACCCUACCAAGCCUUUAACCUGGGUCAUUAAUGGCUCUACCUGCCCCCCGGGGCAGAUCCGCAUCCCCAUCACCUUCGGCACCCAAGACAACUACCGCACCGAGCUCAUCAACUUCGACAUCGCCCGCAUCAGACUCCCGUACAACGCCAUCCUCGAGUACCCGGCCUUGGCCAAGUUCAUGGCGGCAACCCAUCCCAGCUACAACCUCAUGAAGAUACCGGGAAGCAGCGGCGUCUGAGGGAGUCCUGGAUUAGGGGGUCCUCGGGUGUCCGGGCUAUUUUAUAUGGGCCGGACCGAUGGGCCGUGAAGAUAAAAGCAGAUGACUUUUCCCCCGUGUCCGGGUAGGACUCCUGUGUGCGUGGACUGCAAUAUUGGUGUCCGGAUAUACUAUUCCUUCCUCCGCAAACUGACUCUGUAUAACCCUAGACCCCUCCAGUGUGUAUAUAAACCAGAGGGUUUACUCCAUAGAGAUCAUUAGAAUUCUCAUAGGCUAGACAGCUAGGGUUUAGCCAUUACGAUCUCGAGGUAGAUCAACUCUUGUAACCCCUAUACUCAUUGAAUAUAAUCAAGCUGGACGAAGGGUUUUACCUCCUUUAAGAGGGCCCGAACCUCGGUAAAAACAUCGUGUCCCCAUCGUCCCUUGUUACCAUUGAUCCUCACACGCACAGUUCGGGACCCCCUACCCGAGAUCUACCAGUUUUGACACCGACAUUGGUGCUUCAUUGAGAAUUCCACUGUGUCAUCGACAGAAGGAUUGAUGGCUCGAAUUGGCAUCAACGACGAUGCUAUUUCCGGGGAGACUUUUCUCCCUGGUCAACUCUAUGUGUUUGGUGGCUUCGCUCUACGUGCAAAUUCAACUAGUCACCUCGAGCAGAUCGACAGCUACGCCCCUGGUCACCAGAUUAGGUUUGGAAGCUUGAACUACAUCGCUGAUAUCCGGGGAGACUUGAUCUUCGAAGGGUUUUCGGCCUCGGCCGCUGCCCCUCAUCUACAUGAAGGAAGCCCAUUGGAUUCACCAUCAGAUUCUGCUCAAGGAUCAACUCUGGUGCCUGCCCUGGCCUUAGAUCCAGAGUGAACCACUCUAUCCGAAGACGGGAAGAUAAACCCCGCCGGACUCUCCCCCAUUACGGAGCUUCCUGCCGGAGACCCAGAGGUGACCAUGUUGUCAGCGACCCGGAGUCAAACAGGACUCUCCCUGUCAUCGGGAAGCUGGACUCAUCUCUGGAUGUCAACUCUGAAGUCCUGAGGUCUACGUCCAUUGAGCUCGGUCAAGUAGUGAUUACCGGACCCAACUCCGCAGGUCCUCAGUCACCUGUCUAGUUUUCGCUCCUAAACGAGGCACUGGACCUAAUGCGAUCUUUCGACAUCACAGAAGUGUCACUUCCGAACUACGCCCAGCCUGAACUAGGGGCUGAGAGCGGGGAAUUUUACGCCCCACCCACCACCCACUUAAUAGCCACCACCCUCUACGCCUCCGAAAACAUCAUUGGUAUGGACGACGAUGCCGGAGCCGAACCAGGCUAAAACCCGCCUAUCACUGGGCGUUGGACGACCACUUCUACUUACAAUGUGUACAUGGUGGAUACGCCCAAUAAGAAGGAUGACGAUGGCACUCAAGAUCCGAGUGAGGAUAAGCCCGUCGAGGCACCACCAAAGCGCCAACGUCAGCGGCGCUGCUCAUGAUCGCGUUAGGAAAAGGAAAGCAAUACCGGCACCGGAGAUAAUGAUACUCCGGACAAUGCCGAAGACUCGGACCAUCCCGUCGAGCCUGCAUUCGAACAGGAUGAGUGGGAAGAGGGACAAGUCAACCCCGAUGAACUUGUCGAUCAUGAGGAUUUGGAAGAUAGUAACUAUCUACCGACCUCCAAGGAGUAUGUUAGCCUUGGCAACGAUGACUUCAUCGUGCCAGAGGAACCCCUAGAACAAGAAUGCUUUAAGCGACAGCUCAACGCUACCGCGAGGAGUCUGAAAAAGAAACAGCAACAGCUUCAGGCCAAACAGGAUACGCUCAACGACAGAUGGAACAAGGUCCUGGCUGCCGAAGAAUACGGCCUCGAACGCCUGACAAAGAGCUACCCAAAACGCAGGUUAGUACCACAAUUCGACGAUGAGGCCCUUGAGACAAUACUGUCAAGAUACAAUCAUGCUCAUAAACCAGAAUGACCACCACGUGGAUGGGACAAAGCCUCUAAUUAUGCCGAACACCAGCCCACGCCACCUCGUCAUAGAGGCAAAGAGGCAGCGGUUCCGGGCUACACGUACGACUUACGUCAGGACCUGGACAAUAGAGCCGGCUAGACCAGAUCAAUCUACGGACCAAGGGGACGUGCUCCAACACGAGACGAUGGCCAUCAGGCCUGGCGCGAUAAGCAUAACCAAGUUCGGGCUGAGAACCGAACACGGAUGUCAUCCGAACUCGGCCGUGAUGUUGCCCGAUAUAGAGGCGCCGCACGCCCCAUGUGCUUUACCGAUGAGGUAAUGCAGGACCAGUUUCCGGAAGGGUUUAACCCGUAAACAUCGAGCCUUACGAUGGCAUGACAGAUCCUGUUGUAUGGAUUGAAGAUUUUCUUCGACACAUUCACAUGGCCUGUGGAGAUGAUCUCCACGCCAUCAAAUACCUCCCCCUAAAGCUAAAAGGACCAGCACGACACUGGUUGAACAGCCUCCCGGAGAACUCCAUUGGCAGUUGGGAGGACUUAGAGGAUGCUUUUUGGGACAACUUCUAGGGCACUUAUGUCCGGCCACCAAACGCUGAUGACCUGAGUCACAUAGUCCAACAACCCGAAGAGUCAUCCCGCAAACUCUGGAGUUGGUUCUUAAUUAAAAAGAACCAAAUCGUCAAUUGUCCGGAUGCCGAAGCCCUAGUGGCCUUUAAGCACAGCAUCCGUGACGAAUGCUCGCCCGACACCUCUGUCAGGAAAAGCCAAAGACUAUGGCAGCUCUUACUGCACUUAUGACCUGGUUCUAUGCGGGCGAAGACAGCUGGUUGGCUCGUCGAAGCAACAAUACCAGCGACCCUGGCACCUCUGAGGCCAGGGAUGGCAAUGGAUGGCCACGACACAGCAAAAAUAAGCGUCGGAACAACAAUGAAGAAACUGAGGAUAUGGCGGUGAACGCCGGAUUCAGCGGCUCUAAACCCGGUCAGCGGAACAAGUCGUUCAAAGGAAAUAGAGACGGCCCAUCCAACUUGGAUAAAAUACUGGAUAGGCCCUGUCAGAUCCAUGGCACCACUGACAAGCCUGCCAACCACACCAACAGAAACUGCUGGGUUUUUAAACAGGCCGGUAAACUAAAUGCCGCCCGCCGAACACGAUGGGACAUAAGAAGUUUCCCCCCGAGGUGAAAACAGUGAACAUGAUAUAUGUCACCCAUAUCCCCAAGAGGGAGCGCAAGCGCGCACUAAGGAACGUCUACGCCGUAGAGCCUGUCGCCCCAAAAUUCAACCCAUGGUCGGCUUGUCCGAUCACCUUCGAUCGCAGGGACCACCCAACCAGUAUCCGUCAUGGCGGUUCGGCGGCCCUAGUACUCGAUCCCAUCGUCGAUGGAUACCAUCUCACUAGAGUCCUUAUGGACGGCGGCAGCAGUCUCAACUUGAUUUACCAAGACACUACUGUCCGUAAUAUGGGUAUUGACCAGUCAAGAAUCAAGCCUAGUAACACUACCUUUAAAGGUGUGAUACCUGGCGUAGAGGCCCGCUGCACGGGCUCCUUAACACUGGAAGUGGUAUUCGGCUCUCCAGAUAACUUUCAAAGUGAAGAAUUGAUCUUCGAUAUCGUCCCUUUCCGAAGUGGCUAUCAUACACUGCUUGGACGAACUGCUUUCGCCCGCUUUAAUGCAGUCCCACACUAUGCUUAUUUGAAGCUCAAAAUGCUCGGACCACGCGGUGUCAUCAUAGUAAAUGAAAAUAUGGAGCACUCCCUCCGCACUGAUGAGCACACCCCGGCCCUUGCAGCCGAGGUACAGAGCGGCCUCAUUAAGCCGAAUAGCUCAUCGGUCAUCAAGACCCAUGACACCGCUAAGCAAGUCCGAUCUAGAUUACAGGACGGCAGCUCGGCUGAUCCGGAGCUUCAAUAGCAGUUCAGCCUCCGCCGCUCGCCCCAUAAGUUUACGGCAUAUGUACCGUGUGUGCAUAAUUACGCACUUAAAAUACAUUGGGCAGCACCGGGGGCAUACUGCAGAAAAGGUCUAUAGUACGGCUUGACCCUAUUCGAACCUUAACCCUUUUUUCUUUUUCUUUUUCCUUUUUAUUUUCUCAAUACAGGUUCAUUAAAAACCUAUCUACUCUACCGUUGUACAGGGGCUCCUUUCUAAGCUCCCCUUUCUUGUAGAUGACCAUCAACACCUCCUCUCAAAGGAUUUCUAACCAAGGAGAAAUGGCGCAGACUUGCAGCAGGGCAUCAUUAGGAUCCUCAAGCCAAUAUUUUCUUAAAAAGCCCUAUAUAAACCUAUCCCAUGUGUAAAUUUUAGGCAUGUAAAAUGGCCUUGGCCUUUGGGCAUUAUCUGUAAUAGCACGUCUCGGCGUAUUAACCAGGAUAUAAAGGAAACAGUUGAUCACCACUUUUAUUUGGUACUUAUUUAUUUUGUCAUCUGUAUUCCCUCCUUUCUUCAGAUUGCCGCACAUGCUUUAGUCCGGCCUUAAACAUCGGGGACUGUAUUUGGCUCCGCACGUUUUCAAGUCCGAACAACUAUAGGGUAUUGUUCGGCGUCCCGAAUAUUGCACUAUAUGCAUCGGCUCCGAAUCAUGUCUUUGGUCUAUAGUUGGGUUUCCCGGCUCUUGUGCUUACCACCUUACGUUCCACUCGUUCAUCUAAGGAAGUAAAGGGAGAACUAUUGCGAUUGUAUUUCUGGUUCGUCCAGUCAAAUACCUUAGUAGAGAAAGCCGAAAACUGAAUUUCAUGAUAAGGCGAGAGCUGGUCGGCGAUUCGGUGACUUACUACAUAUUGUUAGUGAUUUACUCCGUGUUAUACGAGGGGCUGGUCUUUGUCUAGCCGUGUGGAAAAAGGCACCAUAGUUCAGAUUGCCGCACACGCACCAGGGGCUAGUACUUAGCCCCACCGUCAAACUCCUAUGGCUAAGUGAAAGUAAUAAAGCCGCAUAGUGUGAUUGCCUGGUUCACCUCGCGGACGCCUCUUUAUGGACUAAGACGUUGGAUAAACUGCGGUCACGUGUUAUGCCGAACACCCCCGCAACAUCUGCGUGGGGGCUGAAGCCGGCAACUGGCCACUUUCAGAAUUAAACGGCCGCACAGGAGGAAAAUCGAAUAAGAUAAAAGGCGCAAAUAUAUUACAAGCAUGGCAUAGUUUUUACAACUCGAACCAUCUAAUCAAAUAUCAUGUCCUUAGAACACUGGCCCUCUACUAUUCGGGCCCCUGCCAGGACGUCUUCAAACUACCUCUCCGGCUUCCGUUGGUCCUUGCCUUCAGGCGGGCCUGCGGUCACCACGUCGGUGGCCAUCUCUUUGCCCAGUGUAUCUUGACGCAGGCGAAGGCCAUCCGAGCACCCUCUAUGCAGGCCAAGCACUUCACAACAUCAAUCCGGGGCAGCGCAUCGACGAGCCGCUUUACCAAACCGAAGAAGCCACUGGGAAUGGGUUCGGCUGGUCAAAGCCGGACUACUAGAUCCUUCAUGGCCAAACCGGCCACCCUAUGCAGCUCCAUCAGCUGCUUCAGCGGGUCAUUCAAGGGCGUUGGGUGCUCCGGCGCAAGAUACUGCGACCAGAAUAGCUUCUCGGUCGAGUUCCCUUCCUGGGCUUGGAAGAACUGAGCGGCAUCGGUGGCACUCCUCGGAAGAUCCGCAAACGCGUCUGGAGAACUUCACACUCAAGUAAGCAAAGCAUAUCUUUGACCUCCAAAAAUACUCUGCAAAAGAAAGGCCUUAGCAGGCGCUAUCUGCUUCGCCUGACGGAUCACUUCGCUAGCUCUCCGGGACUCAACCCGCGCCACUUUAGCCUCCUAGAAGGCUUUGGCGAGUUCGGACGAUUGGGCCGAAGUCUUCUCCUCCAAAUCUUCGCAUUUGCUGAUAGCAUGCUUCAGCUCCUGCUCCACUUCGGCCACCCAAGCUUCGUGUUGGUGGUGGGCGGCCUGCUCGGUCUUAAAUUCUGCAGCCGCUUUGUCAGCGGCUGCCUUGUUUGCCUUCGCCUCUUUCUGGGCCAGGGCAAGGGCGCCUUUGAGGGUUUCUACCUCAGCUGCACCAACUAUGCUCAUAAUCAAAGCAUUAAAUGAGUUAAUCUUUGAAUAUACAUAUCACUUCUAAUAUACAACUAAGCUUCUAAGCACUGUACACAUACCUUGCGUCUCGUCGAACCGCUUGUUAACGCGGUUGAUCUCUUCAUCGGCCAGCUGAAGCUUCCGAUUGAGUUCGAAAACCUCUGCGGCCUGGGCGGUCGCUGCCAACAGGGAAGCUUGUUACAAUAACAGCACAGUAUGUUCACUAUCCCGAAUAUUAUAUGGAUCCUCUGUCCGGUUUCUUUCAAACCAGACAAAGCCUCAGGGGCUACUGUCUAUACACAUGUAUAUUCCUCUAUAUGAAAAGUUUUCGAACAUUACGUCGCAUACCUCAAAGCCUGUCAGUAGGCUGUGGAAGGCUUCGUUUAGUCCGCUCUUAGCAGACUGAACCUUCUCCACUACCGCGCCCAUCAGGGUGCGGUGCUCCUCCAUGCUAGAAGCACGUUGUAGUGCUUCCGCUAGAGCGUUCGGUGCUUCCGGAUUAGUGGAGGUCGCCGAUGGAGCCGAUGCUCCUCCCCCUAUUUCAAAGGGGGUUGCCCACCGGAUCCCGGAGCCGCAUUGGUUUCCGGAAUGGUGUCCAACUGGGGCCUGGAUUGUUGGGGGUCCCCACCAUCGGUCGUCAUAGGGGUCGCCUCCCCUAUGUCUUCCGUGACCGAGGCAUUAACCUCAGGCACCUUCUCGACAGCCUCGCCCGACCCUCCUCGGCCAGGAGAGGUCCUUUGGGAUAACACCUCGGUGUCAUCCAUGAUGACAGGAGAGGAGGCUCGUGGCGGUGUCUCGCUCUCUGCCAUCUCAGUCGGCAGAGAUCUCCCCUCCGAUAACGGAGUGUUCGAAAGCUCGCAUUGAGGGUUGAAAGGCACAUAGCAAAAUGGCUUGUAUAAUAGAAAGGGAGGAUUAAAGAUAGACAAUGAGUAUCCGAAUACUUAUGAUUCGGCCAGGGGCUUCGCCCUUGGAGGCUUCUUGCGGACUACUUCGGACUUUGAGUCCGAACUGUCCUGGAGAAUCACUUUCCCCCUCUUGGGCGCCUCCCCCUCUGGGUCUUCAGAGGCCGUCCUCUUCUUCUUCCUCCCCUUGUGGGGGGAGUCGCUUUCCACCUCCUCCUCCUCCUCUUCAUCCUCGUCUCCCUUGUGGGAGGAGAGGGCUUCGGUCUUUCCGGACACUGCGUCCGAAGAACCUUUGUGGCGGGGCCCACCCAUGGCCUUCUUGCCCUUCUUCUUCUUGGCCUUCUUCUCCGGCGCCUGAUAUGGCGCCAGGACCAGCAUCCCUGUUAGCUGGGGUAUGGCCGGGUCCUCAGGUAAUGGUACCGGACAGUUGAUUCACUCCGCCUUCGCCAUCCAGCCCUGUACGGAAAAAAGGUAUUAUAAACUUUGUUAUAUCUAAAGUUUUAACCGGGUGAGUCUUCGGACGGAUUAUGGUCACCGUUGAGGCUGGAUUCUUGAUUUCAAAUCCGAUGUCCUCGGUCUUCUGUGGCCAGUUUUUCUGGGCCUUGAAGAGUUGCUUCCAUAUAUCUUCGUGCAUAGUGCCGAAGAAGCGCUUCAAGGUCUGGGGCCCCUCCAGAUUGAACUCCCACAUGGGGGAGGCUCGGAGUUGGCAGGGAAGGGUGCGGCGGACGAGCAUCACCUGAAUCACGUUUGUGAGACUGGUGUUUUCCCCUAGCACGCUGGUGAUGCGCUUGUGCAGCAUCUGCACUUCCGGCUUAGGCCCCCAGUCAAGGCCCUUGGCGGUCCACGAGGUGAGUCUCGUGGGGAGGACCGGAUCUGAAAUCAGGUGUGGCCGCCAAGUUGGCUUUGCGGGUUUCGGUGAUAUAGAACCACUCCUGCUACCACACCUUGACAGUCUCCACGAAAGCUCCUUUGGGCCAAACGGUGUUGGGGAACUUGCUUACCAUAGCGCUGCUGCAGUCUGCAUGCUAAACAUCGACCACCUUCGGCUUCAGAUUGAAGACCUUGACACAUAGGUCGAAGUGUGGGGGGAUGCGGAGAAGAGCCUCACACACAACGAUGAUCGCCGAUAUGUGGAGGAAAGAAUUUGGGGCUAGAUCAUGGAAAUUUAGCCCGUAGUAGAACAUGAGGCCCCGGACGGAAGGAUGGAGGGGAAACCCUAGACCUCGAAGGAAAUGGGGAAUGAAUACGACCCUCUCACCGGGCUCCAGAGUGGGGAUGACUUGAUCCUCGUACGGGAGCCUGUGCGCGAUAUCCGCAGACAGAUAUCCCACGCUCCGGAGCUCCUUGAUGUCCUUCUCGGUGACAGAGGAGGCCUCCCACUUGCCCUUGGAACCGGAUCCAUACAUGGUUGGGGAGGUUGGAGGAGUGGAAAUGAUUGACGUUUCGGGCGCUGCAGCUUAGAGAUGGGAAGGCAGGAGCUAGAAGAAGGCGUGAAGGAAAAAGGAGGAAUUUUUGCCCUCUUAUAGGCAGUGAAAUACCCAACGCCCCCCCCCCCCUUCUCAAGCCUUAAAAUUCGCCUGUUCCCAAAGAGAUCAUGCAAAUGGCACGGUUGGAUUACCCAAAACAGUAUUAAUGGGAAUCCCGUAAUGGGCGGGCACGAUCUCUGUUUUGACAAGAUGUGCCAAUGGAGGCUAUGCCUCGAAACAUGAAACGGGAGCGUAAAAACGGUUUGAAAUGUUAGAGAGCAAGAUGUUAUGCUUCGCCGAAAAAAGUUGUCAGUAAAAGACAUUGUUUUACUUUCAUAUCCUGCCUUCGUGGCUAAGGGUUAUGUUAACUAUACAGACCCGGAUACAUUUCCUUUGUGCAGAGAGUUAUCCUAAAAUGUUCAGGAGAAGGAACCCGCCUUGCGACGCUGAAGGCAAUCCGUCUGCCGAACACAUUGUCAUCAAAGACUAGUUCAGGGGCUACAUAGGGAGUCCUGGAUUAGGGGGUCCUCGGGUGUCCUGGCUAUUUGAUAUGGGCUGGAUUAAUGGGCCAUGAAGAUAAAAGCAGGAGACUUUUCCCCCGUGUCCCGGUAGGACUCCUGUGUGCGUGCACUGCAAGAUUGGUGUCCGGAUAUACUAUUCCUUCCUCUGCAAACUGACUUUAUAUAACCCUGGAUCCCUCCGGUGUGUAUAUAAACCAGAGGGUUUAGUCCAUAGAGAUCAUCAAAAUUCUCAUAGGCUAGACAGCUAGGGUUUAGCCAUUACGAUCUCGAGGUAGAUCAACUCUUGUAACCCCUAUACUCAUUGAAUAUAAUCAAGAAGGACAAAGGGUUUUACCUCCUUUAAGAGGGCCCGAACCUAGGUAAACAUCGUGUCCCCAUCGUCCCUUGUUACCAUUGAUCCUCAGACGCACAGUUCAGGACCCCCUACCCGAGAUCUACCGGUUUUGACACCAAGAGCGUCCUCACCAUGGCGGGGGACACCAAGGAGGCGCUCUGGGCCCUCAAGCUGGCCUUCAGGGCCACAGCGGCUACGCGGCCAAGCGGAGUGGAAGCCCCGGAAGGCCCUGGGGCUGCACCAGCUAAGAAGAAGCAAUUGUUCUCUCAAGAUUGGGCCGAGACGAAGCAGGUGUCGGUCGACGAGGACGGGGCGUCGGGUUCCACCUUCACCAUAGGCGUCGGCCUCCCUCUAGACCAAGAAAAGGCCUAGGUAAGCUUCCUACGCACGAACAAGGAUGUGUUCACGUGGGAGCCCAAGGAUCUGCCGGGAUCCCGAGGGGGAUAAUCGAGCACCACUUGAGGGUGUGCCCUAACACGCGCCCGGUGAAACAGAAGGCGCGGCGAAAGUCCACAGAGAAGCAGACGUUCAUCAUUCAAGAGACCCGCAAGCUGCAAGAGACCGGUGUCAUUCGGGAGGUGCGGUGUCCAGAAUGGCUCGCAAUUCCGGUUAUCAUCCCCAAGAAAGGCGGGAAGGAGCGCAUGUGUGUCGACUUCACCAACCUCAACAAGGCUUGUCCUCAAGACCCCUUCCCGCUUCCACACAUCGAUCAGAUCGUCGACUCCACCACCGAGUGCGACUUGUUGUGCUUCCUUGACGCCUUCUCGGGAUAUCACCAAAUCAAGAUGGCGGUGCAAGAUGUUGAGAAGAUGGCUUUAUUGACCCCAUGCGGGGUGUACUACUACACUUACAUGUCGUUCGGGUUGCGUAAUGCCGAAGCAACCUUCCAGCGGCUGAUGCACAUCGCUUUGGGCUAGUAGCUCGGGAGGAACGCCGAGGCAUACGACGACGACAUAGUGGUAAAGUCUCGGGAGGCAAGGACCACUACUGGAAUCAGGAUCUUUGCCGUCAGCCAGCUCUUUGCCAUCUCCUAGUUGACAGCAAAAAAGCUCUUUUCCAUGAGCUUAAAGAAAGCUGAUGACAAAGCAAGAGCGGACGGCAAAGAGGGUGUUUGCCGUCAGACUGCUCUUUGCCGCCUGCUAGCUGACGGCAAAGAGGGUGGGUGGCGGACUAAUGAGAACGACCUAACGGCCACUUUCAUUGCCAUCUGCUAGCAGACAGCAGUCAGCAGACGGCAAAGAAAGUGGUCGUCUUAAUGGCCGUUUCCCCCUGGCCCCACCCCAUUAGGUAGGCUCUUUGUCGUCUGCCAUCAGACGGCAGAGAGCUGUGACUUAAGUGAAAUAGGGCCGGUGCCCACGCCCCACCCCUUCCUCCCUCCCCUCUCUCUCUCUCUCUCCCAGCCCUCACCUCACCUGCCCCGGCCCCACGCCCCCCGAUCUAGUUCUGGAUCGGGCUGUGCCCUGACGCGCCCCGCCGCCAUCUGCCGUCCCCGGCGCCGCCCUGCCCCGUCACCGCCUCCUCCUCGCCUCGCCCGUCGCCUCCUCACCCCUCCUUCGCCCCCGCGCGUCACCGCCCGAGGCCUCUGCCUCGCCUCGCCGACACCGUCGCCGAACGCUGCCACCUCACCAUGAUGUCGCCUUCCUAUCAUCGACCACCGCCGCCCCGAGCUCCGGCCCCUCCUCGAGCCCGCUUUUGCACACAACAGGGCCCCUGAGAGGCCUCGUCCGCCCUCACUCCACUCCCUCGCGCUCUGGUCCGUGUCUGCGCGCUCACUGCUUAGCCGUGCCACACCCGCCUCCGUACCGGCCCGUCACCGCGUGAUAACCCACAAGUAUAGGGGAUCGCAACAGUUUUCGAGGGUAGAGUAUUCAACCCAAAUUUAUUGAUUCGACACAAGGGGAGCCAAAGAAUAUUCUCAAGUAUUAGCAGUUGAGUUGUCAAUUCACCCACAUCGGGAUAACUUAGUAUCUGUAGCAAAGUGUUUAGUAGCAAAGUAAUAUGAUAGUAGUGGUAACAGUAACAAAAGUAACGGUAGCAAAAGUAAUAUUUUUGGUGUUUUGUAGUGAUUGUAACAGUAGCAACGGAAAAGUAAAUAAGCGAAGAACAAUAUAUGAAAAGCUCGUAGGCAUUGGAUCGGUGAUGGAGAAUUAUGCCGGAUGCGGUUCAUCAUGUAACAGUCAUAACAUAGGGUGACACGAAACUAGCUCCAAUUCAUCAAUAUAAUGUAGGCAUGUAUUCCGAAUAUAGUCAUACGUGCUUAUGGAAAAGAACUUGCAUGACAUCUUUUGUCCUACCCUCCCGUGGCAGCGGGGUCCUAAUGGAAACUAAGGGAUAUUAAGGCCUCCUUUUAAUAGAGUACCGGAACAAAGCAUUAGCACAUAGUGAAUACAUGAACUCCUCAAACUAUGGUCAUCACCGGGAGUGGUCCCGAUUAUUGUCACUUCGGGGUUGCCGGAUCAUAACACAUAGUAGGUGACUAUAGACUUGCAAGAUAGGAUCAAGAACUCACAUAUAUUCAUGAAACAUAAAAGGUUCAGAUCUGAAAUCAUGGCACUCGGGCCCUAGUGACAAGCAUUAAGCAUAGCAAAGUCAUAGCAACAUCAAUCUCAGAACAUAGUGGAUACUAGGGAUCAAACCCUAACAAAACUAACUCGAUUAGAUGAUAGAUCUCAUCCAACCCAUCACCGUCCAGCAAGCCUAUGAUGGAAUUACUCACGCACGGCGGUGAGCAUCAUGAAAUUGGUGAUGGAGGAUGGUUGAUGAUGACGACAGCGACGAAUCCCCCUCUCCGGAGCCCCGAACGAACUCCAGAUCAGCCCUCCCGAGAGGUUUUAGGGCUUGGCGGCGGCUCCGUAUCGUAAAAUGCGAUGAAUCCUUCUCUCUGAUUUUUUUCCUCCCCGAAAGUGAAUAUAUAGAGUUGGAGUUGAGGUCGGUGGAGCGUCAGGGGGCCCACGAGGUAGGGGGCGCGCCCGGGGGGGCAGGCAUGCCCCCCACCCUCAUGGACAGGGUGUGGGCCCCUGACGUGGAUUUUUCUUCCAGUAUUUAUGAUAUUUUCCAAAAAGAUGUUCCGUGGAGUUUACGGUCAUUCCGAGAACUUUUGUUUCUGCACAUAAAUAACACCAUGGAAAGUCUGCUGAAAACAGCGUCAGUCCGGGUUAGUUCCAUUCAAAUCAUGCAAGUUAGAGUCCAAAACAAGGGCAAAAGUGUUUGGAAAUGUAGAUACGACGGAGACGUAUCAACUCCCCCAAGCUUAAACCUUUGCUUGUCCUCAAGCAAUUCAGUUGAUAAACUGAAAGUGAUAAAGAAAAACUUUUACAAACUCUGUUUGCUCUUGUUGUUGUAAAUAUGUAAAGCCAGCAUUCAAGUUUUCAGCAAAGAUUAUGACUAACCACAUUCGCAAUAACUCUCAGGUCUCAUGUUUACUCAUGUCAAUGGCAUAAUCAACUAGCGAGCGAUAAUAAUAAAUCUGGGAUGACAACACUUUCUCAAAACAAUCAUAAUAUGAUAUAACAAGAUGGUAUCUCGCUAGCCCUUUCUGAGACCGCAAAACAUAAAUGCAGAGCACCUUUAAAGAUCAAGGACUGACUAGACAUUGUAAUUCAUGGUAAAAAAGAUCCAGUCAUACCCAAUAUAAAUUAAUAGUAAUGGAUGCAAAUGACAGUUGCGCUCUCCAGCUAGUGCUCUUUAAUAAGAGGGUGAUGACUCAACAUAAAAGUAAAUAGAUAGGCCCUUCGCAGAGGGAAGCAGGGAUUUGUAGAGGUGCCAGAGCUCGGUUUUAAAGCAGAGAUAAAUAAUAUUUUGAGCGGCAUACUUUCAUUGUCAACAUAACAACCAAGAGAUGGCGAUAUCUUCCAUGCUACACAUAUUAUAGGCGGUUCCCAAACAGAAUGGUAAUGUUUAUACUCCCCCUCCACCAACAAGCAUCAAUCCAUGGCUUGCUCGAAACAACGAGUGCCUCCAACUAGCAACAGCCCCGGGGGAGUUUUGUUUGCAAUUAUUUUGAUUUAGUUUGCAUAAAAGCAUGGGACUGGGCAUCCCGGAGACCAGCCAUUUUCUCGUGAAUGAGGAGCGGAGUCCACUCCUCUUGAGAAUAACCCGCCUAGCAUGGAAUAUACGAACAGCCCUAGUUGAUACAUGAGCUAUUUGAGCAUACAAAACAGAAUUUCAUUUGAAGGUUUGGAGUUUGGCACAUACAAAUUUACUUGGAAUGGCAGGUAGAUACCACAUAUAGGAAGGUAUAGUGGACUCAUAUGGAAUAACUUUGGGGUUUAAGGGAUUGGAUGCACAAGCAGUAUUCCCGCUUAGUACUAGUGAAGGCUAGCAAAAGACUGGGAAGCGACCAACUAGAGAGCGACAACAGUCAUGAACAUGCAUUAAAAUUAAUAAACAUUGAGUGCAAGCAUGAGUAGGAUAUAAUCCACCAUGAACAUAAAUAUCGUGAAGGCUAUGUUGAUUUGUUUCAACUACAUGUGUGAACAUGUGCCAAGUCGAGUCACUUAAAUCAUUCAAAGGAGGAUACCACCCCACUAUACCACAUCACAACCAUUUUAAUAGCAUGUUGGCACGCAAGGUAAACCAUUAUAACUCAUAGCUAAUCAAGCAUGGUACGAGCAACUAUGAUCUCUAAUUGUCAUUGCAAACAUGUUUAUUCAUAAUAGGCUGAAUCAGGGAUGAUGAACUAAUCAUAUUUACAAAAACAAGAGAGGUCGAGUUCAUACCAGCUUUUCUCAUCUCAGUCAGUCCAUCAUAUAUCGUCAUAAUUGCCUUUCACUUGCACGACUGAACGAUGUGAAAAUAAUAAGAGUGGACGUGCAUUGGACUAAGCUGGAAUCUGCGAGCAUUCAAUAAACAGGAGAAGACAAGGCAAUAUGGGCUCUUGGUUAAAUCAAUAAUAAUGCAUAUAAAAGCCACUUCAACAAUUUCAUUAUGGUCUUCUCCUAUCGACCCCCAAAGAAAAGAAAAGAAAUAAAACUAUUUACACGGGAAAGCUCCCAACAAGCAAAAAGAAGAACAGGAAAUCUUUUUGGGUUUUCUUUUUAAUUAUUACUACUACAGCAAGAAAGUAAACUAGCUAAAAGCUACACUAAUUUUUUGGUUUUUCUUAAGGUUUAUCAAACACACAAGAAGAAAGCAAGAAAAAGAAAAUAAACUAGCAUGGAUAUUACAGUGAAAGAGUAUGAGCACCGACAUCUAGCAAUGAGUGUGUGAACAUAAAUGUAAUGUCCGUGGGAAAUACGUACUCCCCCAAGCUUAGGCUUUUGGCCUAAGUUGGUUUAUUGCCACGGGUGGCCUGGCGGAUACCCAUAGUUGUAGCCGGGGUCGUACUGAGAUGGGGCAAUUAUUGCCUCCUGGGCUGCAGCGUGGCGGCGAGCUGCCUCCGCCCUCCUCUCGUACUCAUCUGCCUCUUCUCUGGUAAUAACAUAUCUUCCUUUUGCCUGAUAAUCAAAGAAGGCAGGAACACGGAGAGUAAUACGGACAGCACGACGUUUGUCAAAGAUUAAGCGAUACUGGAGAGGUGAUUCAUUCCUCUCAACAAACUGGUGGUGAACCAUAGCAUUAUAGUCUAGGUAAGCAGGAGGUAAUUCAAUAUCAUCAUUACGUAUGGUUACACCAAGAAAAUCAGCUAAGCGGGUUGCAUAAAUUCCACCAAAGAAAUCCCCAUUAAAUCUAUUAUGAUGCAACCUACGUGCAACAAUGGCUCCCAAAUUAUAAGAUUUGUCUCCUAACACAUCACUCCUAAUAAUACUAAGAUCAGGGACACACAUGUGACAUGCUUCAUCUUUACCAUUUAUGCACCUACCUAUGAAGAGAGCAAAAUAAUGUAUAGCAGGAAAAUGGACGCUCCCUAUGGUAGCUUGUGCUAUAUCUCUAGAUUCCCCCACAAUUAUACUAGCAAGAAAAUUUCUAAAUUCAGAUUUGCGGGGUUCACUAGCACUACCCCAUUGCGGAAGUUUGCAAGCACUGGUAAAAUCCUCUAAGUCCAUGGUAUAAGAUUUUUCAUAAAGAUCAAACAGGACAGUUGGAGAAUUACGUGAAGAUGAAAAUUCAAACCUCCUCACAAAGGAACUAGUGAGAUAGUGGGACUGGCGGCAUUUUUCUUCCUCGAAGCUCACAAGAUCGGUAUUACGCAAAUAUGCGUUAAAUUCUUCCUUGAUUCCUGCUCGAUCCAUAAAGUUUUUUGAAGGCCAUUCACAGGACCGCACUGGAGCGUCCCUUGGUGGCUCUUCAUCAGCAUCACGCAUUACAAGCCUGGGUCCUUGCUUCCUUGAAGAACCACCUUGGUACAUUUUCCUAAGCAUAUUUCUUCCUCUGAAAAAUUUCUGAAAUUUUUAGUAACUUCAAACAAAAGUGAACCAAGCUCAACAAAAUUGAUAGCAACUACUCCUACAAGUGCCUAGAGCCUAUAUCAUGCAUUAGAACCACUUGGAACCAUAUAAAUUUGACAUGCAAGCUCAAGAACAUGAUCACCUAGGCAGCACAAAUUUGCAAUGAAUAGAGCACUAGAACAAAAACUAAUUGGACCAAUGGAGGAGUCACAUACCAAGGAACGAUCUCCCCAAGCAGUUUUGUGAGAGGUGCUUUGAGCAGAUCGAAAAUCGCAGCAAAAUGAGCUAGAACUCGUGCUUGAGCUAGAUGGUGAUUUUUUAGGGAGGAAGAAGAAGUGUGUGUGUGUAGGAAUAAGUGGAGGGGGCCACCAUGGGCCCACGAGGCAGGGGGCGCACCCAGGGGGGUAGGGCGCGCCCUCCACCCUCGUGGCCAGGUGCUUGCCCCUCCUGCGGUGUUCUCAGUGCCAGAUAUUCUCAAAUAUUCCAGAAAAAACAUAUUCCAUUUUCAGGGCAUUUGGAGAACUUUUAUUUUUGGGGUAUUUUUAUAUUGCACGGAUAAUUCAGAAAACAGACAGAAAAAUACUAUUUUUACUUUAUUUCAACUAAAUAACAGAAAGUAGAAAUAGGGGUACAGAAGGUUGUGCCUUCUAGUUUCAUCCAUCUCAUGAUCAUCAAAAGGAAUCCACUAACAAGGUUGAUCAAGUCUUGUUAACAAACUCAUUCCGAAUAACAUGGAACCGGAGAAAUUUCGACUAACACUAUGUUACCUCAAUGGGGAUAUGCACAUCCCCAAUAAUACGAAUAUCAUAUUUCUUCUUGACAGUAAGAAGAGGAAAUUCGAAACCUCAAAAAAUAAUCGAUGGAAUUUUUCCAAUAGAAUUGAUACCGUGGACUUGAGGUUGUUUCCUCGGAAAGUGUACCGUAUGCUCAUUGCCAUUAACAUGAAAAGUGACAUUGCCUUUGUUGCAAUCAAUAACAGCCCCUGCAGUAUUCAAAAAAGGUCUUCCAAGAAUAAUAGACAUACUAUCGUACUCAGGAAUAUCAAGAAUAACAACGUCAGUUAAAAUAGUAACGUUUGCAACCACAACAGGCACAUCCUCACAAAUGCCGACAGGUAUAGCAGUUGAUUUAUCAGCCAUUUGCAAAGAUAUUUCAGUAGGUGUCAACUUAUUCAAAUCAAGUCUACGAUAUAAAGAGAGAGGCAUAACACAAACACCGGCUCCAAGAUCACAUAAAGCAGUUUUAACAUAGUUUCUCUUAAUGGAGCAUGGUAUAGUUGGUACUCCUGGAUCUCCAAGUUUCUUUGGUAUUCCACCCUUGAAAGUGUAAUUAGCAAGCAUGGUGGAAAUUUCAGCUUCUGGUAUCUUUCUUUUAUUAGUAACAGUAUCUUUCAUAUACUUAGCAUAAGGAUUCAUUUUGAGCAUAUCAGUUAAUCGCAUACGCAAAAAGAUAGGUCUAAUCAUUUCAGCAAAGUGCUCAAAAUCCUCAUCAUCCUUUUUCUUGGAUGGCUUAGGAGGAAAAGGCAUGGGUUUCUGAACCCAAGGUUCUCUUUCUUUACCGUGUUUCCUAGCAACAAAGUCUCUCUUAUCAUAACGUUGAUUCUUUGAUUGUGGGUUAUCAAGAUCAACAGCAGGUUCAAUUUCUACAUCAUUAUCAUUACUAGGUUGAGCAUCAUCAUGAACAUCAUCAUUAGCAUUUUCAUUAGGUUCAUGUUCAUUACCAGAUUGUGUUUCAGCAUCAGAAAUAGAGAUAUCAUUUGGAUUCUCGGGUGGUUCAGCAAUAGGUUCACUAGAAGCAUGCAAAGUCCUAUCAUUUUUCUUUUUCUUCCUUUUAGAAGGACUAGGUGCAUCAAUAUAAUUUCUCUGAGAAUCUUGUUCAAUUCUCCUAGGGUGGCCUUUAGGAUACAAAGGUUCCUGAGUCAUCUUACCAGUUCUAGUAGCCACUCUAACAGCAUAAUCAUUUUUCUUACUAUUCAAUUCAUUGAGCAAGUCAUUUUGAGCUUUAAGUACUUGUUCUACUUGAGUGGUAACCAUAGAAGCAUGUUUAGUAAUGAGUUUAAGUUCACCUUUAACUCUAGACAUAUAAUCACCCAAGUGUUCAAGCGUAUCGGAAUUGUAUUUCAAUUGUCUACCAAAAUAAGCAUUGAAGUUUUCUUGUUUGACAAUAAAAUUAUCAAACUCUUCUAAGCAUUGUCUAGCAGACUUAUAGUGAGGAAUAUCACCUUCAUCAAAUCUAUAGAGAGAAUUUACCUUUACUACCUGUGUCGGGUUAUCAAGACCAUGAGUUUCUUCAAUAGGUAAUGGAUUAAGAUCAUACGUUUCUUCAACAGGCGCUAAAUUAAGACCAUGUAUUUCUUCAAUAGGAGGUAAAUUCUUAACAUCUUCCGCUUUAAUACCCUUUUCUUUCAUAGAUUUCUUUGCCUCUUUCAUAUCUUCAGGACUGAGAAAUAGAACACCUCUCUUCUUCGGAGUUGGUUUAGGAAUAGGCUCAGGAAUUGGCUCAGGAAGUGUCCAAUUAUUUUCAUUUGUCAACAUAUUAUUCAAUAGUAUUUCAGCUUCAUCCGGUGUUCUUUCCCUGAAAACAGAACCAGCACAACUAUCCAGGUAAUCUCUGGAAGCAUCGGUUAGUCCAUUAUAAAAGAUAUCAAGUAUUUCAUUUUUCUUAAGAGGAUGAUCUGGCAAAGCAUUAAGUAACUGGAGAAGCCUCCCCCAAGCUUGUGGGAGACUCUCUUCUUCAAUUUGCACAAAAUUAUAUAUAUCCCUCAAAGCAGCUUGUUUCUUAUGAGCAGGGAAAUAUUUAGCAAAGAAGUAAUAAAUCAUAUCCUAGGGACUACACACACAACCAGGAUCAAGAAAAUUAAACCAUAUCUUAGCAUCACCCUUCAAUGAGAACGGAAAUAUUUUAAGGAUAUAAAGGUAGCGAGAUUUCUCAUCAUUAGUGAACAGGGUGGCUAUAUCAUUUAAUUUAGUAAGAUGUGCCACAACAGUUUCAGAUUCAUAGCCAUUAAAAGGAUCAGAUUCAACCAAAGUAAUUAUAUCAGGAUCAACAGAGAAUUCAUAAUCCUUAUCAGUAACACAGAUAGGUGAAGUAGCAAAAGCAGGGUCAGGUUUCAUUCUAGCAUUAAGAGAUCGUUGCUUCCAUUUAGCUAAUAAUUUCUUAAGAUCACUUCUAUCAUUGCAAGCAAGAAUGGCUCUAGCAGAUUCUUCAUCCAAAACAUAACCCUCAGGAACAACAGGUAAUUCAUAUUUAUUAGGGGGAGAGUCUUCAUCAUCACUAUCUUCAAUAUAAUCAGUUUCAAUAAUUUCGUUCUCUCUAACCCUAGCAAGUUGUUCAUCAAGAAAUUCACCAAGUGGCACAGUAGUAUCAAGCAUAGAAGUAGUUUCAUCAUAAGUAUCAUGCAUAGCAGAAGUGGCAUCAUCAAUAACAUGCGACAUAUCAGAAAGAAUAGCAGAAGCAGGUUUAGGUGUCGCAAGCUUACUCAAAACAGAAGGUGAAUCAAGUGCAGAGCUAGAUGGCAGUUCCUUACCUCCCCUCGUAGUUGAGGGAUAAAUUGUUGUCUUAGUGUCUUUCAAGUUCUUCAUAGUGACCAGCAGAUAAAAUAGUCUUGAUAACCCACAAGUAUAGGGGAUCGCAACAGUUUUCGAGGGUAGAGUAUUCAACCCAAAUUUAUUGAUUCGACACAAGGGGAGCCAAAGAAUAUUCUCAAGUAUUAGCAGUUGAGUUGUUAAUUCAACCACACCUGGAUAACUUAGUAUCUGCAGCAAAGUGUUUAGUAGCAAAGUAAUAUGAUAGUAGUGGUAGCGUUAACAAAAGUAACGGUAGCAAAAGUAAUAUUUUUGGUGUUUUGUAGUGAUUGUAACAGUAGCAACGGAAAAGUAAAUAAGCGAAGAACAAUAUAUGAAAAGCUCGUAGGCAUUGGAUCGGUGAUGGAGAAUUAUGCCGGAUGCGGUUCAUCAUGUAACAGUCAUAACAUAGGGUGCCACAAAACUAGCUCCAAUUCAUCAAUAUAAUGUAGGCAUGUAUUCCGAAUAUAGUCAUGCAUGCUUAUGGAAAAGAACUUGCAUGACAUCUUUUGUCCUACCCUCCCGUGGCAGCGGGGUCCUAAUGGAAACUAAGGGAUAUUAAGGCCUCCUUUUAAUAGAGUACCGGAACAAAGCAUUAGCACAUAGUGAAUACAUGAACUCCUCAAACUAUGCUCAUCACCGGGAGUGGUCCUGAUUAUUGUCACUUCGGAAUUGCCGGAUCAUAACACAUAGUAGGUGACUAUAGACUUGCAAGAUAGGAUCAAGAACUCACAUAUAUUCAUGAAAACAUAAAAGGUUCAGAUCUGAAAUCAUGGCACUCGGGCCCUAGUGACAAGCAUUAAGCAUAGCAAAGUCAUAGCAACAUCAAUCUCAGAACAUAGUGCAUACUAGGGAUCAAACCCUAACAAAACUAACUCGAUUACAUGAUAGAUCUCAUCCAACCCAUCACCGUCCAGCAAGCCUACGAUGGAAUUACUCACGCACGGCGGUGAGCAUCAUGAAAUUGGUGAUGGAGGAUGGUUGAUGAUGACGACGGCGACGAAUCCCCCUCUCCGGAGCCCUGAACGGACUCCAGAUCAGCCCUCCCGAGAGGCUUUAGGGCUUGGCGGCGGCUCCGUAUCGUAAAAUGUGAUGAAUCCUUCUCUCUGAUUUUUUUCUCCCCGAAGUGAAUAUAUGGAGUUGGAGUUGAGGUCGGUGGAGCGUCAGGGGGCCCACGAGGUAGGGGGCGCGCCCCCACCGUCGUGGACAGGGUGUGGGCCCCCUGACGUGGAUUUUUCUUCUAGUAUUUUUGAUAUUUUCCAAAAAGAUGUUCCGUGGAGUUUCAGGUCAUUCCGAGAACUUUUGUUUCUGCACAUAAAUAACACCAUGGAAAGUCUGCUGAAAACAGCGUCAGUCCGGGUUAGUUCCAUUCAAAUCAUGCAAGUUAGAGUCCAAAACAAGGGCAAAAGUGUUUGGAAAAGUAGAUAUGACGGAGACGUAUCACCGCGCCACGCCCGCCUCCAAACCGAUCGAGGGGGUAGGAUUAGGUUAGUGCUAGGUUAAGGUUUAGAUAAUUAGAAGAAGAAGAAAAAUUGAAAAAAAGAAGAACAAGUAAAAGAAGAGGAAAAGGAAAAAAGGAAGAGGGUCAUGGAUCGCCAGUCGCCGAGGGGAUAGAUGGUGGAGCCAGUGGGCCCCGCCGGUCCCGAUGCCCAUGCCGAGAUUCCCCCGGUCCGAGUGCUGACCCGUCGACCGUGCGUCGCCAUACCAGAGGGCGCCCGGGGACGAGCGGGUUAGGUGGUUCCUCGAUGUCGAUGGAACCCUAAAUAGCAAGUAUUGUCUGUGCGAGAUACAUGUGGCCGUCGGUGUCAAACACUGCAUCCACGUCCCACAAGUGAUGCCGGUGUCCGGCGUCCCGCAGCAAAGUCCUCGGGGUCAAUGGCGGUCGAACACCUUUGCGAAUUUGUCUUGCAGCCUCUACGAUGACGAUUAAAAGUCAAGUCUUGAAACUUGAAACACCCAAACUGACUCAAGUCAGUUUGGUUGUAAGUUUCAAAACUUGUCUUUCGUCCUCAUCGCAGAGGCUGCCAAACAAAUUCGCCAAGGUGUUCGACCGUCAUUGGCCCCUAGAACUAUUGAUGCGCGCAGGACGCCGGGCGCCGGCGUCACUUGUGGGAUGUGUAUCUGGUGUUCAACGCUGAGCGCCACAUGUAUCUCGCACCAAUGAUACUUGCUAUUUAGGGUUCCAUCGAUGCCGAGGAACACCCUAACCCACUCGUCCUGCUGUAAAUAUUUAGUUAGGUUGACGGAAAAAACAAUAUUGCAAUGUUACUCAUCUUUCGAUUUAAAUGUGUAGUUUUUUCUUCGCUGCGAGGGUCUAGUGUUCGACGAGCUCCACCCCUGCGUUCGGGGGUGAGCACAAAUCACAUCUCCUCCUCCCCCCUUCAUUUGCUCUGUUUCGGUCUUCGAGCCGAUGAAACUUGCUAGCUAUAGGUGUCUUCAAUCAUCAGUAUGCGUGACCACUAUGCAUCUCCCAUUCGAAAGGGUUACAUCUAUAAAUAUGCAAGCAUUUGCAUAUUCAUAAUCGUGAUUCUUUCAAAUUGUCCAACAUUAUCCAUGGACAACCCGAGUAUGUGUAGAUUGGGUUCGUUUUCCCAUAUGCUCUGCCCUGGAUCCGAUGCAGAAUUUCGUCAGUGCCUCCCCGUUGUUCUCCGGGUACACAUCCUCUUUGCUUAUUGCCGAGACGUGUAUCACGAGAACAGCGGGGAGGUGCUGCUGAAAUUUUGCGUCGGAUCUGGAGCAGAGCAUGGGAAAACGAACCCAAUCUACACAUACUCGGGUGGGAUUAGGACCUAUCUUUACCUAUUAGCGUCUAGGUUGCAUGGACGUAAUAAAAGUGACAAACUCCAUUAACUGAUGAAUAUAUACAUGCUGAUUUAUAUAUAUUUCUUAUGUGUCUAGUAGCUAGGCAAGAUGAGUGAUCGUGCAUGGAUGUACACCAGUCACACUAGUCAGAAAGACGUGAGCAUUGAAUGGUUAACAAAAACCAAGGGUUUCUGAGAGCCGCAUUUGCAAAUGGCCAAAGGACAACAUGGUGCCCCUAUGCCGGGUGCAACAAUUGGCGCAAGAGGAUAGAGGAUGAAAUGGGCCAGCACCUGCAGAAGAUGGCUUUUACGCCAGAUUAUACGGUGUGGACAUUUCAUGCCGAGUUUGCCCAACGAGCAUGGUACCAGGAUGCAAGACAUGGUGCAAGACUUUCAUGAUGCUCGGGACUCGGACGAUGAGAUGGAGGAAUCUGCAAAGGCCUUCAAUGAAAUGUUGGAGUCUUCAAAACGUCCUCUCCACGAGCACACUGAGCUUUGUCAGCUGGACGCCAUCUCACAAAUAAUGGCUCUGAAGGCUCAAUUCAACUUGGGCAGAGAAUGCUACGACGCAAUGAUGAUAGUAUUUGGACGUUUUCUACCCAAAGGCCAUGUACUACCUGCAAACCUGUACCAGUCAGACAAAAUCCCCCGUGCUCUUAAGAUGCCCUAUGAGAAGAUACAUGCCUAUGAGAAAGGAUGUGCCUUAUUGAGGCUUCAGUAUGCGGACUUGAACUAUUGUCCCAUUUGCAAGUCAUCCAGGUAUGUUGUGGUAGACAACGGUAUGGGUGAGAAGACGCAGACCAAAAUCCCCGUUAAUGUUCUUCGGUAUAUGCCAAUCGUACCAAGACUUCAACGUCUUUUCAUGGUUGAAGAGACGGCCAGACAGAUGACAUGGCACAAAACGGGCAAAAGAACCCAACUAAAUGCAGAUGGGAAGCUGAUGAUGGUGCACAUGUCGUUUAUGAAGUGCCGCCACGUGUUAGACCACCUCCCCCCAAUGAAGAGGAUUAUGAACCUCACAUUAACCCAGACACAUAUGAAGGAGAAUUCUUCCAAGAAACACGUCUUUCCAAAAAAAUGUUUCAAGAACCGCUCUACUUCACCCAGAACAUUGAAGUAGACAGCGACAGUGAACCUGACUUCACCCCUGAGCCGGAACAAGAAGAGCCUGAACUAGAAGAGGUUACUGCUGCAGAUGACCUAUCAAUGCUUGACCGAUUACGUCAAGGUGGCCUUCCACAUGAUGAUGCAUUUAUUAAUGAUGAUGAUGAGCACGUCAUUAUUGAUAGUGAUGAUGAUGAUUUAUUUAUUGAUCCCGGAGCAUUUAUUGAACCCGACGAUCCAGAUUAUUAUUAGGUAUUCAAUUUUUUAUGUUGUACUUGAUUUAUAUAGUUACUUGUAUGAUUGUAUGAUUUAUAUAGUUACUUGUAUAAUUUUAUUAUGUUGUAUGAUUGUUUCUUAUACAUAGUGUCAUGGUCUUGAUGUCCAUCCCCGUUGGCCCUCGCCCAUUUUAUGAUUCAGAUGUGGUAAAUUCUCUUUUAUAACUAUUUUUUGACAAUUAUGGCCAUCAAGUUGACAUAGAGAUAUUUUAAUCUAGGAGGUAUGUGAACCAGAAUUUGAAACUGACCCUCUUGUCGAGAAGUUAAAUUUAGUUGAAAAAGAAAAUGAGUAUUUGAAAGAAAAAAUUAAAAUAAUUGAAGAAGAGAAGAUGACAUUGAGGUUGUACGUUGCCGAUGUCGUCGAUGAUAACAAGAUGAAGAUGAAUGCAAUGCGCUUGAAGAUGGACGCAAUGCGCCUGAUGCUUAAGAAGAUUAGAAAAAAUGCCAUUGAUAAUGAGGCUUGGUAUCAUUAUGCCGUUGGAUCAAUUGUUACCUUAGUUGCGAUCUUCAUCGCAUUUGUUGUGAUGAGGGUAAGUUUUCUCUAGUGUUUUGCUUAACAAAUGCAUACUUAGCUUAUUUUCCUCCUAAAUGGCAUAAUUACCUAAGUUAGAUAAAAAAUGAGCUAUACUUACGCAAGUUGGCUCAAAAAUGGCAUCGUCACCUAGGUUACCACAAAAAUGACCUAUACUUACCUUAUUUUUCUCCAAACUGACAUAAUAAGCUUAGUUUUUUUUUGAGAAUCACCGAGGGGAGCUGCCCACCUGAAUAUAUUGCUCAAAACGGUUGUAGAAACAGCAGAACCAGAUUACAGAGGUAUAGUGCAUCAUGCAGAGAGGUAGGUAUGCCACGAGGAGACGUCCUCCUUGUCACCCGUAUCAACAAGACGGUGUGACCAGAGAUCCAAGUCUGCUACUAGGUUUCUAAUAGUUAUUACAGAACAUUGAUCAACAUUUGUAAAGAGCAUAUCAUUUCUCGCGGCCCAUAUGGAGGAGAGUAGCGCAAGAAGAACGAAGGGCCAUGCGUUCUUGGGCAGGUGGUGAGGUAGUGGAACGUCCCAAAGUUCAUUGAGGUCUUCAUCCUAUGGCAGUAUGCCAACUCUCUGCCAGAUUCUGUUGGCGAGGGGGCAAGAGAUGAAGAGGUGAAUGGAGUCCUCCGGUAGCGUGGCACACCAUGUGCAUAAGUCCGAGGGGAUUAUGUUCUUGUGGGUAAGAUUCACGGCGGUGUUUAGGCGAUCCUUGAAGAGUAGCCAAGCGAAGAUCUUGAUCUUGCGUGGAGCCUUGGUGUUCCAGAUGAGAGGAGCAAUGAGGUCCGUUUCUGGCCUUGCCAUAAUGGUGCCGUAAGCUUGCUUGGUGGAGAAGUCAUGACCCUUAAGGAGGAACCGUUGAUCUUGCUCUGAUGAAGGCGCGAAGUCCUGCAAAACAGCCAAAAGCGAGACUAGCUCUGUUUCUGCUGUGAGAGAGAGACGAUUAUGGAGGUUUGUUUCGAGACCGAAAUGCAAGAUGUUAGCCACUUUAACCAGCUGUAGUGUUCAGUGUGAGAAGAUGUGUGAGUAGGUGGUAGCUAGGGGUUUUGGGGUGAGCCAGGUGUCUAACCAGAAGUAAGUGUGCGUUCCACUAUUUGUUAAAACGAACGAAAUUGACUGUAAGGUUGGGAUUUGUUGAGCAAUCGUGCGGCAUAGAAAAGAGGUUUGGGGGCCCGAGGAGACUAGGGCAUUGGGGUGUUGAAGCUCUAGCCAAUCUAGCCAAGGUGAUGGUGUGGAUGAGAGAGCUUUGACAGCAAACUUCAUUAGGAGACAAUUAUUUGAACCUGUAGAUUUUUCAGCCCUAACCCACCGAAUUUUUUUGGUGUGCAAACGUUUUUCCACGCAAUCAGGCAUUUGGCACCCAAGCAGGCAUCCUCACCAGCCCAGAAAAAGGAUCUUCUCAGGGAAUCAAUGAUUUUUAGGGUUUUUUUGGGAUGCGAAAGACAGACAUAAAGUAUGUAAGCAAGGAGUCAAGAACGGCCGAGAUGAGGAUGAGUCGAUCGCCUCUGUCCAGGAGCUUGGCACGCCAACUAGUGAGAAGUUUUCGGGAUCGUUCAAUUAACGAGGCAAAGGCAGUGGAUGGAGGCUUGGUCGGAGCGAGGGGAAGUCCAAGAUAGGUUUGAGGAAGGGGGCACGCAUGCAAUCCAUGGCGAGGGCAGUGUUGGCAACUAGGUUUUCAUUUACGUGAAGGGUUGCUAGGGUUGUUUUGGAGAAGUUUAUGGUGAGGCCAGUAGCUUGAGCAAAGUUCUGAAGGAUUUUUUUUAGUGUGGCUGCUGCGGUGAGGGAGGCGGCUGCGAUGAUCAAUGUAUCGUCUGUGUAUUGGAGGAUGGUAGGGGGCAGGUGGGUAAAGAUGGGGUGGUGGAGAUCGGGAUCGGGGUUCUGGAGGAUAAGUUGCUGGAGCAGAUUGGCUACAAUUAGGAAGUGGUAGGGGGAGGCCGGGUCUCCCUGACGCAGGCCAUUCUUACAUGGGAUCCAAUGACCUGGAAUGUUGUUUAGGAGGAUGGCAGUCUUGCCAGUAUGGAGGAUAUUUUGAAUCCAACCACGAAAAGUUUGGGAGAAGCAACGGACAGCCAAGAUUUUGUCUAGGGCGUUCCAAGCAACCGAGUCAAAUGCCUUCCUGAAGUCAAGUUUGAAGAUCAUGGUUGGGCGUUUGGGAGAGUGACAAGAGCUGAUAAGAUCUGCUGCAAAGACGUAGUUUUCAGCAAUGUUCCUACUGGUAAUGAAGCCAGUCUGAUUACCAUGGACAAGAAGAGGGAUGAAGGGUUUGAGGUGCGAAGUUAGGACCUUGGCAACAGCUUUGACCGGGCAGUUUUGCAAGGAAAUGGGUCUGAAGGCGUCACGUGAGGGUGAGGAGGCAGAUUUUGGAAGGAGAGCAAUGUGGGCACGGUUUAGACGCUUUGUGUCUGCCACACCUUGGUGAAAUUGUGCGAAGAAGGAGAGUAUUACCUGCUUGAUAGAGGGCCAGAAGGUUUUAUAGAAGGAUGGGCCGAAACCAUCGGGGCCGGGGCUUGCUUGUGGGUUCAUUUGGAAGAAGGCCAAUUUGAUCUCAUCUUCGGUGAAAUGUGCGUCAAGGGCAUGAAGACCAGGUACGGGGUGAGGAUAGAUCGACGCGAGAUCAAAAGGCCAAGUCGUGGAGACAGUGGAGCCGAUGAGCGUGACAAAAAAAUCUCGCAGGAUGUCAUCUUUUUGGUGAUGCGAGGUAAAAACCAAGCCGUCUCGAGUGAGGGAGAAGAUUUUGUUCUUUCUAAGCCGUUGUGAGGCGGACAUGUGGAAGAACUUGGAGUUUUCACCGCCAUGAAUUGCUCGGGACACUUUGGCACGCCAUUUCCAAUAGGAAUUUUUUUCUAGAAUGGUGCUUUUUAGGAGAGAAACGAUGAUCUUACGUGUGAGUUGUUCUGGUGGGGAGAGAGGCCUAGAUUCUUCUACGUGGUCGAGAGCAGAGAUGCCAAUUUUGCAGCAAGAUUCACGGAGGGGGUUGGGAAGCCACGAGCGGGCCCAUUUUUUAAACGCGGCCCGAGUUUUUUUGAGCAGUGCGGCGAGGGAGGCGGCAGAGUUGGGCGGUGAAGUGGGCCGAUGUGAGGCCCAAACCGAGGAGAUGAUAUCUCGGCAGGGUUGCAAAUUGGCCCAAGCAGAUUCGAAUUUAAAGAAGUUUGAGCGCAGGAUUGUUGUGGUGACGUGGAUGAUGAGGGGGACGUGAUCAGACGUGAAACGCGUGAGGGAUGUGAGUGAGGAGUUGAGGAAGGCAUCGGCCCAGGCUAAGUUGAAGAAGGUGCGGUCGAUGCGUUCUAGGGUGGGUGUGGUUCUGUUGUUAGACCAAGUGAAUUGGCGGUCUAGAAGUGGUAACUCGAUGAGGGCAAGCGCAUCAAUUGUUUGGUUGAAAGCGUUGGCCUCGGUGUGUCUAAACGCAUCAUUGUUUUUGUCUGAGGGGAAACGUAGGAGGUUGAAGUCACCGACGAGUAGCCAGGGCGAAACAUCUGGUUGGGCGAUAGCUAAAAGUUCAUCGAAGAAUUGUUGCUUGAGAGCGCGUGAGGAGGGGGCGUAAAUGAGCUUAGUUUCGGAUCCGGCAGCGUGUCAAGUUUGGAUUCUUGUAGUAGGGCAAUAUGUGGAUUGAUUGAGAUUAGUUCAGAGAGGACGUCGGAGCAUUUAUCCUCGUCACCAAGUCCACGUACAUUCCACGAACAUAUAGAGAAGGUUGCAUUACUCAUGAGAAAGUUUCGUACACCAGGGUUUUUAAGACCGAACUACGAUAGUUACACGGUAGCAAAAGGUACACUGCAUCGGUAGAACAGUACAUGGUCGGACGAUCACACUCGAGGGGCCAAAAGUACAGAGACACUACUAGCGAGAGUAAGGCGCGGACAACUGGCGGCGGUGUGGAGUCGCCCCCCGCAGAGUAGAGCAGAGCUAGCGUGCUGAUCAUGGAGAAUCUUCAGCACCGGAGGCCGAGUCGUCAGCUUCGAGAAUGGCGUCGACAUGGCCAUCAUCCGCCCCGCCAAGCAGGGCAAUGGCUGCGAGAUCUUCAGCUGAGGCCGGAGGGCCAUCGGAGACGUCAAGGCGAGCCUCAUGGAUGGCGUGGUCGAUAGCCGUGCCCACGUCCGCAGCAGAUAGGCAAGCUGCCUUGGCCUUGACCGCCUUGGCGAGCAUAGGCGAGUAUCGGGCCUCCUUGCCAGCGAGCCGUGCGCUGCGGCCCAGCUUGUCCUUGGAGCAGGACUGAUCACGGGCCGUCUUACGGCAUUCCUUACGUAUGGUACACUCAUGGGUGUCCAGCUCAUGGAGAGGCAGCGCUGCAUCAGGUUUGUCAUGGGUCAGGGCAGUUGUGGUAGUAUGUAGAGGAAGUGAUUGAGCAAGAGACUGGGGAAGUGGGACUUUACCAGCAGUACGGGACGAUUCGCCAGCCGAAAAGGUGAAGUUGGGGGUGAUUGUCGUGUCAGAAGCCUCCGGCACGACCGCCGUAAAGGCAGAGGUGUCAGAGGGAGUGAGCAGGCGAACAUGCGGAGCAGCGUCCGCAUGGAGCGAAGGCAGUGGUGGCGGGGCCACAGCCCCGACCAGCGGCGAUGGCCGGAUGACAAGAGGGCUCGAGGAGCCCCCCAUGGGUGCAUGCACCACGUCCAUGGACCUCGGCAGGUCUGCAUGCAGGAGCGGGCGUGCACGUCCUCAGAGCCGGUAGAUUCGUCGUCGCAGAUGACAAGGGGCUGAUGCACGGAACCAGGUGGAGGCGAGGGAAGGAGUAGGGCAUAUGCAUUGGUGCCAUAGCCAGAUGAGACCGGAGCCGCAGGUGCGGCUCCACUGACAGCCACAAGACGUGUCCCACCGUACGUGGGGUCGGCGCGCCAGCCAGCACAAAUGGCAGAGAUGACUGGGGUGAGUUGUUCUGGGGAGGCGGGUCGUGGGGAGCCACGAUGAGAGAGAGGGGCGGAGUAUCCGUCAGAACAGUCGCCACCGAAAGGAUUGGCGCCAUCACCGUGGUGCCAGCGUGAGAUCUCCACUACUUUGGCUAUCUUGAUUUCGUUGAUGGGAGGGAGCUGGAUGAUGAUGCCGGGCAGGGCUGGCUUGCCGGACUGGAGCAGGAUCAAGGCGCGGACAGAUGUGUAAUCAAUGCCAUGCAGGCAGAAGUCAUCAACGGCACAUACGUCGCCGAGGAAAGCCAAGGCGAAGCGAAUGCCGUCGUUGUGCCAAAGUUCGUGCGGGAACUCGGAGACCUCGAUUUCGGCAAGGUCAGUGAAGAUAGCAAUGGAGCGGUCGACGUGCUCGACCGGCUCGAUGGUGAUGGUGUUGCCUUGAAAGUCUAUAGGGCUGUGGCGUACGACAUCAUUGCGGGCAGAGGGGGUCUGGAAGGUGAGGCAAGAAAACCCACGCCAUGAGCCACCCAUGAUGAAGGCGGGGUUGCCGCACGUAAGCUGGAUAGCACGGCGGAUGAGUGGAGUGGGGUUGGGGUCAGGUGUUCGGAGGUGGGCAAAGGCGAAACGGCGUGGGUAGUGUACUAGGCAGGGUGGCGCAGCGACGAGAGGCGUGUCUCCAUAGGGAGGCAGCGGCCCAGCAUCGCGGAAAGGGCGAGGCAACUCAUCAUCAGAGUCGGAUUCAGAUACAUAGGAUGCGGCUGUGGUGUGCUGGGAGGCAAUGUACACGUCGGCGAGGCGAUCUCUCAGUUCCUAAGUGUCGAAGGGGGAGGAGUGUGUGCAUGGGAUCGUGGGGUGGUGUGGUGGGAGUGGGUGGAGGUGCUGAGGCGCGUGGCGGCGAGGUGGGGGGGAGGGGAUGCUAUUGGUGCCAAUAGGGACGCCGUGGAGGAUGAAGGGGGACGGCACACAUACAGCGGGGAAAGGUUCGGAGAGGAUGACGGGGAUCUGUCCGAUCUUGAGGGUGCGUGGAUUGGCGACCGCAGCGGACGAUGAGCUGUCGGGCUCCAUUCUGCGGAGGCAGAAGGCUGGAUUAGGGACAGAAGUAAAAGUAUCUGGGAGGGGAGGGAAGAAGGUCCAAAUCCUGCGGUACCUGCAAUCGCGGCUACGGUGGCCGUUCCGCCAGCAGCGGGCGCAGCGGGUGGGAUCACGGCAGACCUUGACACAAUGGUCUAGGGCGAGGCAGUGGAAGCAGCGGCGUCUCCUUUUGGUGGAUGGAGUUGGGAGGGAGUGAGGAUGAGGAGGGAGGAGCCGUCGUGGAGAUAUAUAGGGGGCGGGGCAGCGGCGCACUGUGGCUAUGUGGACCAGAGAGCAGCACGUCUCGAUAUGUGGGUGUCGCAGAGCGGUUGGAUCGAGCAUGCAGCGUAUCCGUCGUCAGAGCGGUGAGAUCGUUUGUGUGUGUCAGUGAUUGAGGCGACGGGGGUGUGAGGCGUGGUGAUGGAGGGCUUAGGUAGGGUUUAGAGGCGAUGAUUAUGGCUAGAUGAUGGUCAGGGAUAGAGGGGGGUGCGGCAGAGGUGUGGUAACGCAAGCCAGCACGUGUGGCCGCGCGAGAUCGUUGGUUCCCAAUGCGAGAUUCUCUCCUGGCUCGGUCACCGGGGCGGCGCGUGGGGAGACAGGAGGCGGCGCGUUGGCGCCCGGAUUAGACGCGCGUGGGUCAGGUGGGGUGUCCAAUUUUGGCACACACAGAGAGACCGAUGGGGGGGUUAUUGGUUCCUGCGCGCACCUCGCCCGCAUGCGCGGCAUCAUGUGGUACGUACGGAUCUUUUGUAGGAUUUUAUCUGUCGGGGGACGCAGCGCAGGAAAUGACCAAUACUUAGCAUUUUCCUCCUAAAUGACUUAAUAUGCUUAGUUAGCUAAAAAUGGCAUAACUACCUAGGAUAGCUCAAUAAUGAUCUAUACUUAGCUUACCUAGUUCAUUUAUGACAUAAUUAGCUUACUUAGGUCAAAAAUGGCAUAACUACCUAGGUUAGCUCAAAAAUGACCUAUACUUAGCUUCUUCAGUUCAUUUAUGACAUACUUAGCAUACUUAGGUCAAAAAUGGCAUGAUUAUCUUUGUUACCUCCAAAAUGGCAUAGACUUAGCUUAUUUUCCACGAAAAUGACAUAAUAACCUUACUAAGCUCCAAAAUGGACUAUUUACCUAGCUUAGCUCUAAAAUGACCUACACUUAGCAUUUUUACCUUGCUUAGCUAAAAAAAGGCAUUUUUACCUACCUUAGUUAGAAGAAGAAGAAGAAGAAGAAGAAGAAGAAGAAGAAGAAGAUAAAUAAGAGGAGAGGAGGAAAAGAAAGAGAAGAAAAUUUCUUCUUCUUCUAGCUAGUCUUAUUAUUAUUAUUAUUAUUAUUAUUAUUAUUAUUCUAACUUUCUUCUUUCCCAAUUUGCAGAUUUUCUUUCUAUGUGGAAGCUUGCAUUGAUGGAGUCUACUCUUCUCCUUGUGCUUCCUUUUUUUUGAUUUUGUAGGAUGAACAAUGUGAAACUUGCUACCUAUAUAUGUAUGUAUGGAUGAAACCAUUGUAUGCUUGUUGUUGGAUAUGUUGGCUAACUAUAUAUGUUGCAUAUGGACUUCUGAUUGGUAUGUAUAUGUGUUGGAUGAUCAUAUCCAUAUGGGAGGGAUAUGAUUUCGUAUGUAUAUGUGUUGUUAUGCUUGUUGAAUGUAUUUUCAAAUGUGUAUAUAUAUAUCUGUGAAAUUGAAUGAAUUUAAGAAAAAACAAGGGUUGUACAUGCUCUUUGCCGUCUGCUGGCUCAUGGCAAAGCUCUUUGUCAUCGGCUAGCAGACGGCAAAGCUGCCAUGUGGCAGCUACCUGUGCAACCUGGGGUGCACUUGGCUGGCUUAUUUGGCAGCUUUGCCAUCUACUGGCAGACGGCAAAGACCUUGGCAUCUUUGCCGUCUGCUAGCAGACGGCAUAGCUUACCAUGUGGCAGCUACCUCGGGGGGCAUCUGGGCUGGCAUAUUUGUGCACUUUGCCGUCCGCUGGCAGACGGCACGCCGUUAACCCCCUAACGGACCUAACCUGCCACGUGUGCCGUCCAGGCUCUUUGCCGUCUGCUAGCGGACGGCAAAGACCAUUUCAUCUUUGUCGUCCGCCAGCAGAUGGCAAAGAUCCCUUUGCUAUAGCUUAUUCAGCCGGACCUGUUGCCGUCUGCGACGGCAAAGGCCUUUGCCGUCAGCCAUGGCAGCCAGGCAUACGAGGGGCUAGUCUUUGUCCAGCCGCGUGGAAAAAGGCAUCGUAGUUCGGAUUGCCGCACAUGCACCAGGGGCUAGUACUUAGCCCCACCGUCAAACUCCUAUGGCUAAGUGAAAGUAAUAAAGCCGCAUAGUCUGAUUGCCUGGUUCACCCCGUGGAUGCCUCCUUUAUGGACCAAGACGUUGGAUAAACUGCACUCACGCGUUACGCCGAACACCCCUGCAACAUCUGCGUGGGGGCUGAAGCCGAUGACUGGCCACUUUUAGAAUUAAACGGCCGCACAGGAGGAAAUUGCUUAAGAUAAAACGCGCAAAUAUAUUAAAAGCAUGGGAUCAUAACAUCGUUUUUACAACUCGAACCAUCUAAUCAAAUAUCACGUCCUUAGAACACUGGCCCUCUACUAUUCGGGCCCCUGCCAGGACGUCUUCAAACUACCUCUCCGGCUUCCGUUGGUCUUUGCCUUCAGGCGGGCCUGCGGUCGCCACAUCGGUGGCCAUCAUUUUUGCCCAGUGCAUCUUGACGUAGGUGAAGGCCAUCCGAGCACCCUCUAUGCAGGCCGAGCACUUCACAGCAUCAAUCUGGGGCAGCGCAUCGACGAGCCGCUUUACCAAACCGAAGAAGCUACUGGGAAUGGGUUCGGCUGGCCAAAGUUGGACUACUAGAUCCUUCAUGGCCAAACUGGCCACCCUAUGCAGCUCCAUCAGCUGCUUCAGCUGGUCGUUCAGGGGCGUCGGGUGCUCCGGUGCAAGAUACUGCGACCAGAACAGCUUCUCGGUCGAGUUCCCCUCCUGGGCUCGGAAGAACUGAGCGGCAUCGGCGGCACCCCUCGGAAGAUCCGCAAACGCGACUGGAGAACUCCACACUCGAGUAAGCAAAGCAUAUCUUUGACCUCCAGAAAUACUCUGCAAAAGAAAGGCCUUACCAGGCGCUAUCUGCUUCGCCUGACGGAUCUCUUCGCGAGCACUCUGGGACUCGCCCACGCCUCUUUCGCCUCCUGGAGGGCUUUGGCGAGUUUGGGCGAUUGGGCCGAAGUCUUCUCCUCCAAAUCUUCGCAUUUGCUGAUGGCAUCCUUCAGCUCCUGCUCGACUUCGGCCACACGAGCUUCGUGUGGGCGGCGGGCGGCUUCCUCGGUCUUCAGUUCUGCAACCACUUUGUCAGCGGCUGCCUUGUUUGCCUUCGCCUCUUUCUGGGCCUGGGCAAGGGCGCCUUUGAGGGUUUCGACCUCGGCUGCACCAACUAUGCUCAUAAUCAAAGCAUGAAAUGAGUUAAUCUCUUAAUAUACAUAUCACUUCUGAUAUACGACUAAGCUUGUAAACACUGUACGCAUACCUUGCGUCUCGUCGAACUGCUUGUUAACGUGGUUGAUCUCUUCAUCGGCCAGCUGAAGCUUCCGAUCCGCGGCAUGGGCGGUCGCCGCCAACAGGGAAGCAUGUUACAAUAACAGAAUAGUAUGUUAACUAUCCCGAAUAUUAUACGGAUCCUCUGUCUGGUUUCUUUGAAACCAGACAGAGCCCCAGGGGCUACAGUCUAUACACAGGUAUAUUCCUCUAUAUGAAAAGUUUUCGAACAUUACGUCGCAUACCUUAAAAGCCUAUCAGUAAGCUGUGGAAGGCUUCGUUCAGUUCGCUCUUAGCAGACUGAACCUUCUCCACUACCGUGCCCAUCAGUGUGUGGUGCUCCUCCAUGAUGGAAGCACGUUGCAGUGCUUUCGCUAGAGCGUUCGGCGCCUCCGGAUUAGUGGAGGUCGCUGAUGGAGCCGAUGCUCCUCCCCCCUAUUUCAAAGGGGGUUGCCCACCUGAUCCCGGAGCCGCAUUGGUUUCCGGAAUGGUGUCCGGUUGGGGCCCGGAUUGUUGGGGGUCCCCACCGUCAGUCUCAUAGGGGUCGCCUCCCCUAUGUCUUCGGCGACCGAGGCAUUAAUCUCGGGCGCCUUCUCGACAGCCUCACCCGCACCUCCUCGGCCAGGAGAGGUCCUUCGGGAUAACACCUCGGUGUCAUCCAUGGUGACAGGCAAGGAGGCUCGUGGCGGUGUCUCAUUCUCUGCCAUCUCGGGCGGCAGAGAGCUCCCCUUCGAUAACGGAAUGUUCAGAAGCUCGCAUGGAGGGCUGAAAGGCACAUAUCAAAACGGCUUAUAUAAUAGAAAUGGAGGAUUAAAGAUAAACAAUGAGUAUCCAAAUACUUACGAUUCGGCCAGGGGAUUCGCCCUUGGAGGCUUCUUGUGGACUAGUUUGGACUCUGAGUCCGAACUGUCCUAGAGAAUCACUUUCCCCCUCUUGACCUCUUCCUCUUCCUCCCCUUGCGGGGGGGUCGCUUUGCACCUCCUCCUCCUCCUCUUCCUGCUCGUCUCCCUCGUGUGAGGAGAGGGCUUCGGUCUCUCCGGACACUGCGUCCGAAGGACCUUUGUUGCGGGGGCCGCCCUUGGCCUCCUUGCCCUUCUUCUUCUUGGCCUUCUUCUCUGGCGCCGGAUAUGGCGCCGAGACCAGCAUCCCUAUUAGCUUGGGUAUGGCCGGAUCCUCAGGUAGCAAUGCUGGACAGUUGAUCCGCUCCGCCUUCGCCAUCUAGCCCUGUACGGAAAAUAGGUAUUAUAAACUUUAUUAUAUCCGAAGUAUUAACCAGAUGAGUCUCGGACGGAUUAUGGUCACCGCUGAGGCCGGAUUCUUGAUGUCAAGCCCGAUGUCCUCGGUCUUCUGCGGCCAAUUUUUCUAGGCAUUGAAGAGCUGCUUCCAUAUAUCUUCGUGCGUAGUGCCGAAGAAGUGCUUCAAGUUUUGGGGCCCCUCCAGAUUGAACUCCCACAUGGGGGAGGCUCGGAUUGGCAGGGAAGGGUGCGGCGGACGAGCAUCACCUGAAUCACGUUUGUGAGACCGGUGUUUUCCCCUAGCACACUGGUGAUGCGCUUGUGCAGCAUCUGCACUUCCGGCUUAGACCCCCAGUCAAGGCCCUUGGUGGUCCACGAGGUGAGUCUCGUGGGGGGACAGGAUCUGAAAUCAGGUGUGGACGCCCAGUUGGCUUUGCGGGGUUCGGUGAUAUAGAACCACUCCUGCUGCCACACCUUGACAGUCUUGACGAAAGCCCCUUUGGGCCAGACGGCGUUGGGGAGCUUGCUUACCAUAGCGCCGCCGCAGUCCGCAUGCUGACCAUCGACCACCUUCGGCUUCAGAUUGAAGACCUUGAGCCAUAGGCCGAAGUGUGGGGGAUGCGGAGAAGAGCCUCACACACGACGAUGAACACCGAUAUGUGGAAGAAAGAAUUUGGGGCUAGAUCGUGGAAAUGUUGCCCGUAGUAGAACAUGAGCCCCCGGACGAAAGGAUGGAGGGGAAACCCUAGACCUCAGAGGAAAUGGGGAAUGAAUACGACCCUCUCGCCGGGCUCCAGAGUGGGGAUGACUUGAGCCUCGUUAGGGAGCAUGUGCGCGAUCGCUCCGGAGCUCCUUGAUGUCCUUCUAGGUGACAGAGGAGGCCUCCCACUUUCCCUUGGAAUCGGAUCCAGACAUGGCUAGGGAGGUUGGAGGCGGUGGGAAAGAUUGAAGUUUCGGGCGCUGGAGCUCAGAGAUGGGAAGGCAGGAGUUUGAAGAAGUCAUGAGGGAGAAAGGAGGAAUCUUUGUACUGUUAUAGGCAGUGAAAUACCAAACGCCCCCCUCUCAAGCCUUAAAACACGCCUGUUCCCAAAGAGAUCGUGCGAACGGCACGGUUGGAUUACCCAAAACCAUAUUAAUGGGAAUCCCGUAAUGGGCGGGCACGAUCUAUGUUUUGACAAGAUGUGCCAAUGGAGGCUAUGCCUCGAAACACGAAACAGGAGCGUAAAAACGGUUAAUGUUAAAGAGCGAGAUGUGACGCUUCGCCGAAAAAAGUUUUCAGUAAAAGACAUUGGUUUAUUUUGAUAUCCUGCCUUCAUGGCUAAGGGUUAUAUUAACUAUAUGGAUACGGAUACAUUUCCUUUGUGCAGAGAGUUAUCCUAAAAUGUUCAGGAGAAGGAACCCGCCAUGCGACGCCGAAGACAAUCUGUGUGCCGAACACAUCGUCAUCAAAGACUCGUUCAGGGGCUACUGAGGGAGUCCUGGAUUAGUGGGUCCCUGGUGUCCGGGCUAUUUGAUAUGGGUCGGAUUGAUGGGCCGUGAAGAUAAAAGCAGAAGACUUUUCCCCCGUGUCCGGGUAGGACUCCUGUGUGUGCGUGGACUACAAGAUUAGUGUCCGGAUAAACUAUUUCCUUCCUCUGCAAACCGACUAUGUAUAACCCUAGAUCCCUCUGGUGUGUAUAUAAACCGGAGGGUUUAGUCCAUAGAGAUCAUCAGAAUUCUCAUAGGCUAGAUGGCUAGGGUUUAGCCAUUACGAUCUCGAGGUAGAUCAACUCUUGUAACCCCUAUACUCAUUGAAUAUAAUCAAGCAGGACGUAGGGUUUUACCUCCUUUAAGAGGGCCCGAACCGGGGUAAACAUUGUGUCCCCAUCGUCCCUUGUUACCAUUGAUCCUCAGACGCACAGUUCGGGACCCCCUACCCGAGAUCUGCCGGUUUUGACACCGGCAGCGUCCUCACCGUGGCGGGGGACACCAAGGAGGCGCUCUCGGCCCUCAAGCUGGCCUUCAGGGCCGCAGCGGCCGCGCGGCCAAGCGGAGUGGAAGCCCCGGAAGGCCGGGGGGAUGCACCAACUGAGAAGAAGCAAUUAUUCUCUCAAGAUCGGGCUGAGACGAAGCAGGUGCCGGUCGACAAGGACGGGGCGUCAGGCUCCACCUUCACCAUAGGCGUCGGCCUCCCUCCAGACCAAGAAAAGGCGUUGGUCAGCUUCCUACGCACGAACAAGGAUGUGUUCGCGUGGGAGCCCAAGGAUCUGGUCGGGAUCUUGAGGGGGAUAAUCAAGCACCACUUGAGGGUGUGCCCUAACGUGCGGCCGGUGAAACAGAAGGCGUGGCGGCAGUCCACGGAGAAGCAGUCGUUCAUCGUUCAAGAGACCCGCAAGCUGCAAGAGGCCGGUGUCAUUCAGGAGGUGCAGUAUCCAGAAUGGCUCGCAAACCCGGUUAUUGUCACAAAGAAAGGCGGGAAGGAGCGCAUGUGCGUCGACUUCACCAACCUCAACAAGGCUUGUCCUCAAAACCCCUUCCCGCUUCCACGCAUCAAUCAGAUCGUCGACUCCACCACCGAGUGCGACUUGUUGUGCUUCUUGGACGCCUUCUCGGGCUAUCACCAAAUCAAGAUGGCAGUGCAAGAUGUUGAGAAGACGGCUUUCUUGACCCCGUGCGGGGUGUACUGCUACACUUGCAUGCCGUUCGGGUUGCGUAAUGUCAGAGCAACCUUCCAGCAGCUGAUGCACAUCGCUUUGGGCCGGCAACUCGGGAGGAACGCCGAGGCAUACGUCGACGACAUAGUGGUAAAGUCUCGGGAGGCAAGGACCACUACUGGAAUCAGGAUCUUUGUCGUCAGCCAGCUCUUUGCCGUCUGCUAGCUGACGGCAAAGAAGGUCUUUGCCAUCAGCUUAAAGAAAGCUGACGGCAAAGAAAGAGUGGACGGCAAAGAGGGUGUUUGUUGCCAGCCUGCUCUUUGUCGUGUGCUAGCUGACGGCAAAGAGGGUGGGUGGCAGACUAAUGAGAACGACCUAACGGCCACUUUCUUUGUCGUCUAUCUGCAGAUGGCAAAGAAAGUGGUCGUUUUAAUGGCCGUUUCCCCCUGACCCCACCCCACUAGGUAGGUUCUUUGCCGUCUGCCAGCAUACGGCAAAGAGCUGUGACCUAAGUGAAAUAGGGCCGGCGCCCGCGCCCCACCCUCUCUCUCUCUCUCUCUCUCUCUCGGCCCUCACCUCACCCGCGCCACCGUCGCCGUCCCUGACCGCCCCCGCCGCCCCGGCACCCCACCCCUCAAUCCAGUUCUGGAUCGGGUCGUGCCCUGACACGCCCCGCCGCCAUCCGCCAUGCCCGGCACUGCCCCGCCCCGUCACCGCCUCCUCCUCGCCUCGCCCGUCGCCUCCUUGCCCCUCCUUCGCCCUGCACGUCACCGCCCGAGGCCUCUGCCUCGCCUCGCCGACGUCGACGCCGUCGCCAAACGCUGCCACCUCACCGCGUUGUCGCCGUCCUGUCGUCAACCACCGCUACCCCGAGCUCCAGCCCCUCCCCAUGCCCGCUUUUGCACAACUACAGGUUCCCGGUGUGGCCUCGUCCGCCCUCGCUCCGCUCCCUCGCACUCCGGUCCGCGUCUGCGCGCUCACCGCUUGGUUGUGCCACGCCCGCCUCCGUACCGGCCCGCCGCCGCGCCACGCCCGCCUCCGGACCGAUCGAGGGGCAGAUUAGGUUAGUGCUACAUUUAGGUUUAGAUAAUUAGAAGAAGAAGAAAAUUGAAAAAAAAAAGUAGAAUAAGUAGAAGAAGAGGAUAAAGGAAGAAAAGGAAGAGGGUCGUCUUGGUGGCAGUGCGGUGCUGGUGGCAGUGUGGGAGGAGCGGCCGACCAAGGGCUCACGACGAAGCACCUCGCACCCGGCUGAGGCACCGCGGCCUCAGGACGGCGCUCCUGAGGCCCCGACCGCCCCACCAGUCAACGGUGCUCCCGAGACCCCGGUCAAUCCUCCGGACAGCAGGGCUCCUGAGGACGAUGCUCCUGAGGCCACUGCCUCUAUCGCGGAUGACAAGGCUCCCGAGGACCCUCUGCCCCACAAGGUGCAAGACUCAGCCGAUGCCUCCUCCCUCAUCGAGCACCCGGUGUACUUCGUCAGCCGAGUGCUACAUGAUGCGUGGGUGCGCUACCCCAUGCCGCAAAAGCUCUUGCUCGCGCUCCUCGUCGCCUCCCGGAAGCUGCACCACUACUUCCAAGGCCAUCCAAUCAAGAUUGUCUUGGCUUAUCCCUUGGAGAGGGUGCUCCGAAGCCCCAAUGUUGCGGGAAGGGUUGCAGAAUGGAACAUCGAGCUGCAAGUGUUCCAGUUGGAGUUCAGCACCACCAGGGUCGUCAAGGCCACGGCCCUCGCGGACUUCGUGGUGGAAUGGACUGACAUCCCUGGCCGUGAAGUGAGCGAGGACCAUUCUCUCAUGCCCUGAGACGAGGCACCGGAUGGCUGGGUCAUGUACUUCGACGGUGCAUUCGCGUGUCAGGGCGCGGGGGCUGGAGCCGUGCUCAUCUCGCCCACCCAGGAGAAGCUCUAUACGCUGUGCAGCUUUGCUUCCAGCAAGGCAAGAAGAUCUCCAACAACAUCGUGGAAUACGAAGGCCUGAUCACCGGCCUCAAGGCUGCAGCAGCUUUGGGGGUCAGGCACCUCACCAUCAGGGGCGACUCGCAACUCCUCGUCAACUUCUCCAACAAGAAGUACAAGCCGAAGGACGAACACAUGGAGGCGUACCUCGAGGAGGUACGCAAAAUUGAGAAACGAUUCCUGGGCCUGGAGUUGCAGCACGUGCCACAUGGCAUGAACAAGGAAGCAGACGACAUCGCCAAGAGGGCGUCUCGGCGUCUGCCUCAGGAGCCUCGCGUUUUCGAGGAGCGGCUCUUCAAGCCAUCAGCAGCUCCCCCCGCCCCAGGACCAGCAACGCCUCAGGAGGAGCUCCCCCCAGCUCCCCUCUCAGGCGCCCCUGCUUGCGGUCCAACCUCCGGAGCCCGCCUCCUCCUAGCGCUCGAGCCUCAGGAAGGGAUGCUGGACUGAGGAGUUCAAGGCGUACCUGCUUCGGGGCACCCUGCCGGAGAAGGAGGAAGAUGCGGAGCGUGUGGCCCGCCAGGCCACGACAUACUGCAUCCGGGACGGUGAGCUCUAUCGGAGGCGUCUGAACAAUGUUUCUUUAUGAUGCAUCUCCAGGGAGCAGGGGUGCGAGCUGCUGGCCGACAUUCAUGGCGGGGACUACGCGCAUCACUCCUCAUCGCGCACCCUCGUGGGCAAGGCGUUCCGCAGCGAGUUCUACUAGCCCAUGAUGCUCAACGAUGCCGCAAAAUUGGUGAGAUCCUGUGAAUCAUGUCAAUUCCACACCAAGCAGAUCCACCAGCCAGCUCAGGGCCUUCAGACCAUCCCACUCUCAUGGCCAUUCGCGGUCUGGGGGCUGGACAUCCUGAGCCCAUUCCCUCGAGCGCCCGGGGGCUACCGCUACCUCCACGUUGCCAUCAACAAGUUCACCAAGUGGGCGGAGGUGGAGGCCUUCCGCACCAUCCUGGCUGGCUCGGCAGUUAAGUUCAUCAAGGGCCUCGUGAGCCAGUUCGGGGUAACCAAUGGCAUCAUCACCGACAAUGGCUCGCAGUUCACCAGCAACCUUUUCAAAACAUAUUGUGCUAACCUUGGAACGCAGAUAUGCUACGCUUCGGUGGCACACCCCCGGAGCAAUGGCCAGGCUGAGCGUGCCAAUGCAGAGGUCCUGAGAGGCCUCAAGGCAAGGACCUUCAAGAAGAAGCUCGAGGCCUGCGGCAGGGGCUGGCUCGAUGAGCUCCAGUCCGUGCUUUGGUCCAUCCGCACCACCUUGACCAAGCCGACGGGUGAGACUCCAUUCUUCCUCGUCUACGGAGCUGAAGCGGUUCUCCCUCACGAGGUCAGGCAUCGCUCCACGUGGGUAUUGGCGUUUGACGAGGCACGCCAGGAUGCCUUGCGGGGGAUGGACCUCGUGCUGGGGGAGGAACGCCGCCGUCAAGCCUCGCUCCGAGCAGCGAGGUACCAGCAGGCGCUACGGCGGUACCACUGCCGUAGCGUCCGCUCCAGGACGCUCGAGGUGGGUGACCUCGUCCUGAGGCGGGUGCUCUCCAGGGAAGGGCUCCAUAAGCUCUCGCCUGUGUGGGAGGGCCUGUUCAAGAUUGCCCGUGUCUCCAGGCCUGGCGCCGCAUGCCUGGAGACGCAGGACGGGAUCCUCAUCCAGAACGCCUGGAACAUCCAACACCUCCAGAAGUUCUACCCAUGAAGCAAGGCCUCGUGCCUGUGAAAGUCUCCGCUCGUGACACUCUCACGUAAUAAUGAUUUAGGGCUGUACACGCCCCGGAGUCUCCUGAGGUCGCCCCUGGGCCUCACGGGGGCUCCAACCCACAUCCUAGUGGAGGCCCCAUGCUCCGCGCUGGUAGGAAGACAAGAAGACUAGUCUAGGUGCCGGACGCGGAUGUUCUUUUGCUUGCUUUCUGUAGUUGAUUUUCAGCUUCUCGAAUGAAAUUUGGAGCUUUCGUGUCUUUUGUUUGCAAGUCGGGAUUUUCUCUCUUUUUUGCUCGCCUUUCCGACCUUGUCCCAGGGGGAGCGACAGUUUCCCGUUGCUCCUCCUCGCGCGCCUUACGCGCGGGGGCUAGGUAGGUGUGUGCGCCAGGCCUCGCCCGCGGCCACACCUCACCGAAGCCCUGUCGCCCCAGAGCUUCGGCGUCCUUAAUCCUCGCGAGACGCCCUCGAACGAGCUCAUGGGCAUGCGCACCCCCCUAAGUCCGUGCCUUCGGGCAUCGCGACACGGUGCACCAGCCAUAACCAACCCACGCUCAGGGGCUUGCGCGAGGUAGGACGAGAAGCCUCACAAGGCCCCCCAAUUCUAAAAAUUCUGUAGAUAUACAAUGUCUCCUGAGGCUCGAUGGCUCCCGAGUCGUCAGGAAGGAAGCCCUGGAACCUACCUCUGGAAAAGGCGCGCCCUCGCGACGUUGGAGACUACAACAAGCACAUCGAACUAAGUUACCCUAACUGCACCUAGGAGAAACACGGGUAUCACGGCACGGCAUCAAAAUAACAAGCAUAGCAUAGUGGCGCAAGCACCAUGGUUCAUUACACGCCCCAGCGGGGCCCUCUACUUUUUUCGCAGGAGAAAAGAAAGGUUAAACAAAAGAAGGUUGCACGGCUGCAGCAGCUCCCAAGGCCAGACUCCAGCGGCGCCCGAGCGCAGUCCGAGUCUUCCUCCCACUUCACCGAGGCACGGCGAUGAGACGGCUCGUUGCCUUCCCCGAUCAGAACCCUGCGGCAUGGUGGUUCGUCGUAGCCACCACUACUGGUGCUCUCGCCGGAGGAGGAGCCGCCGCUGCUGGAGGUAGUGCGGUCGUCGCCAAGGGGAAGCUCACCCUCGUCGUCGCGCGCGGCCAUCGGCAAGGGCAAGCUCAUCGUCGUCGCCGCCAUCCACCGGGCAGCACCCCGCACGACGGCCGUCCUCCCCAAACACCCUCACAUAAAGGGUCACAAGGCAGUUGUACCUGAAAUGGAGGGUGCACCUCCCGCUCAGGCCCUGCGCGCGGGCAAACGCCUGCCAACCGCGGGUCAAGGACACGCUGCCCGCAGUGGUGACUUCAACCCCAGCCCACGAGGCCCUGCUGCAGCAGCCGUCAGCCUGCAGCCAGAGGCCAUCAAGCCCCGCGGUAGGCAGCUCACCCGCAAAGAGCGCGGGAGCCAGGUGCCAACGGGCCUCUCCGACCACACGACAAACUCCGAGAACGCAUUCGCCGAGUGGAAGCGCGGCCGAGGAGGCCGGGCAACCACGGCGCGCCUCCCCCAUUGCAGGGGCUACCCCGUCCACCGCGGCUCCCGCCACAAGAGGAAGCGUUGUCGCGGCUGCCCAAGGCGACGCCUGCCCUUGAAGAGGUGUGCCCGCGCCCGCGAGGGGCCACCGCCGGGGUCGCAGCAUACUUGCGGGGGCGACCGCGGCCUCUCUUCGGUGGCGGUGAACCCGGCCCCUCCUUGUGGGCCUUCCCCUUUUCGGCACCGGAGAACCUUCUCGUCGGCGCCAUGGAUGCUACGGCAAGACGGGGAGACAAAGAUGAAGAAGGAAGAGCGGGUAGCGAGAAGAUGGAGAUGAGUAGGGGGCCCUGCCCCUCCCCUCACUUAUAGCCAGAGGGAGGCCAACCGCCGGCCUCCAUGAUCCCCAGUAAUGAUGGCUUUUCUGCAUGCAGCAGGCUCUCGUCGAGUCGAACGGUUGCUGAGGCCGCGUGGGGAAGCGGAGACGCCCAUGUCCCAUCAAGCGCCACGCGUCGACCGAGGCCGUAGGCGGUUGGGGCCCGCGGCGCUCCGCACUUGCCCUUUGGCUUCGCCUCGAAGCCAAGUUCGAGCGCACCUUGGGCCCGGGGGCUACUAUCGGCGUUCUAGGAAAUGGGGUACCCAGACAUGCCUGCCUGCGGCCCAUCGCGUGGCUCCAUUGGCAGCCUGGUACGGCCCAUCUUCAGCACCAACAAAUCAAGACCCUCGCGAGGGGCCAAGCCUCACGAUGCAGACGACAUCAAGACCUCCGGGAGGAGCGGCCUCCUCAGGCUAGCUCCCGAGGACCGGAGAUUUCUAUGCAAGCCCUCACCUCGUGAGGUUUUGGAUGAUGCAAGCCAUGAUGACCGAGGCCAGGCGGGCGCCGGCAGGCGCAGAGCAGCAGGUUUCCUCUUUGGUGCUAAGGAGGCAAGCGCAGGCGCGGAGUCCCGAGGAAUCAACUAAAGGUUUCCAUUUCCGUGCUACAAGACCAAGACUGCCAGGACGGCAGGACGGAGGUCAUCGCCGAGCCCACCACAGCGUCACGACCAGAGGCUUUGCAAGCGAAGACUACCUUUUGUCAGGAUAAGAUGUACUAGUUGUGUCCCUUCGAAUUUGGCCGUUGUGGGAUCCCUUCCCGCCUUCAUUUUGGGAAGAGGACCAAGGCCACUAUAAGUAGAGCAGCACCACCACCGUAGAGAGGGAUCCGGAUCCAUUCCAUCCUCACACCCACCAGCUCACUCGAGCACAAGAACACACCUCCUGAGGUUGUUCCCCCACUGUACAAGUUCAUCCUCAGCCCACCUCGAGGCCAAUCCAUCACAAAGCAGGAGUAGGGUUUUACACCGCAAGGUAGCCCGAACCUGGGUAAACUGCCUUGUCCCCUUCCCUUCCAGUUCAUCAAGCUAGGCCGUGAGAUCGACGAGUUGGCAGAAUGGGGAGGUUGAGUUCUUCGCACGCACCCCAGAGUUCGAAUCUAUCAAGGGUCUGUAGAGCCCGGAAUCCGAUAGAGGGAGAGUGUCACGCCUGGCCACUUGUCCGUGUGACCUGGCAACUGCGAUCGGGCCCCACCUGUAGGUGUGCGUGUGUGCGUGGAGACUUGGAGUUUAAAGCUAGCCGCCUUUGGCAGCAAGAGGGCACGUGUGAUCGAUGGACUGUAUCUCACCUAAUCUUUCCUCUUAAAGCAUCUUCUUCCUCUCCAAGUGUCCCCCUCCUCCUCUCUGGUUCCUCACCAGCUCGAUCCCGAUCCUCUCCUCUUGUUGGUUCGUUACAGUCGCCUGCCACUUCAAGUCCCAGCGUCGUGACCUUGACCUUCUUCCUAAAACGAGCACAGCCGCCCCGCCUGCUCGAUCCCCCUGAAUUGCGACGACCACCGCGCGUUGACCGCGCCCCCUUCACCUUCUCCUUCGAUCCAGCCAAGGCCCAGCCGCCGGCGCCCCCGCAUUGCAUCGCCACCAUCGAGUCGGCCGAGUGGCCCUUUGGUGAGCAAUCCGCCUAUCUGCCGCCAGCGCGCGCAGCUUAUUAUCUUGUGCUCAAUAGUUUCAGCCUGUGGAGUGUUUUUCUGUUCUGGGAAUUUAGCUAACUUCCCGAGUUUACUGUUCUACAGAAAAAACCCAUGCAUUUCAUGCAUAUAACGUCUCACAAACCGUGCAUCGGAAUUAAAGAAACUAUAUAUGUAAAAUACUUGGAAUUUCAUGUAGAUUAUUAAUUUGCAACCUUCACCCAUGUUAAAAAUGUUUAAAAUUGUUGUUUGCAUUUAUUUGCACAAAUGACAUGCACCUAAGAUUGUUUUCUCCUUAUUAACCUCUCCCCUUCAAAACUUUUGUAAAUGGCCGAAACCUGAAGACCUCCUGACUACCGGAUAUCCCGCGCUUCUCUAAGAUAGCCUCUAGAAGUGCCAGUUUCACCGAGCACCACUUUCACCUACCAUGAGCAUUGGAUCGACAACACCAAGACGGAUUACCAUGUGGAAGUAUUCAUGAAGGAAAAUGACUCCCCAACAAGCCGGUUCUUCACGUUACCCCGGAGGGUAACACUGGUUCUCGCAGUCAAAGCAACUACACCAAUUUACAUAAAGGAUUACCGUAAGCUCUUCACCACACCACUGGCGAAGCAAUGCCAUGUUGAGUUCCUCCAAUCCUCCACUCCCUCAAGUGACAAAGAACCUUGGAUGGAUGACAACGAGGAGGAAGACCUAGAAGAGCCAGAGUACGCGACCGAGCAUUCCACCACAUAGACACCAUUCGAGACUAGGAUAGGCCAGUCUGUAACCCCUAAGGUAGGAUUGGUCGUGUAUCCCCGAUGCGAAGUCGAGUCCUUGAAAUGGUUCAGAUGAAACCAUGCUUUGGUUGUGGUUCUUUUGUGUUUUGAUGGAAGUCGCACUUUCCCUUUGGGAACACGACUACAUCACCCAUUUUCGUUUUUAAAUGAUAUGUUCGUCCCUUCCGGCCUUUGCUUAAACAACUUGCGUAGUAUCAACCCCCUUACUAGGAACCCUAUCUGCAUUGCUUUCUCUCUCAUCUAUCCCAAUUAUGAGCCUUUGUGAUGUGGACAUGGCUGCCACAGAUAUGACAAAAAAUAAAGCGAAACACAUAUUGUAAAGGUGAUUUCUAUUAGCAAUAAUUUCAUGAAUUAUUUAUUGUUGAAAACAAAGAUAUAUCACCUCUUUUAUUAUAUGGAGAAUAAUUGAGGAAUUAUCAAGCUACUUGUCAAGACGAUGAAAGGGAACAUACAUAUAUAGAAAGACAUACAUGUAUGCGUACAAGGAGAAUGCAUCAUGCAUGUUGUGUGCUUCCAUGUAAAAGAUACAAUGCAUAUGCAUGUGCGUUUUCAUACAUUUCAGCAAGCCAACUGGUCAUGCAUGCUACGAGGCAUCAACACAAGAGGAGGUCUUCCAUGCAAAUAUGCACCAGGGGCACAUCCGUUUUUAUGGGCCGGUCCAUCUAACACCUUGAAAAAGCCACGACCGGCCGGUCUCAUGAGACGACCCCCUCAUCCACAAGAGUCCAAAUCAACCACGACCACGUUAGGAAAUCCAAGGGCCUGCGAGUCCUUUUUGGUCGUCCAAAGUUCGGUUUGUAAUCUUCCUCUAUAUGUGCCUCAUCUUCUAGGGUUUAGACUUUGGUUUUAUUGUAUUAUCUAGCCAUCGCUACAAUUCGCAUCUACGAGACGUGUAGGACUAUCGCCUUGUCAGAUUCACAAUAGAACCCCAACCUUUGAUCUAGUUUGUGUGCUCAACUUUUCAUCCGCAGUUCUAAGAUUGCAAUUCACCUUUGUUCAUGCCGGUUAUUCAGUUGCUUGCAGAAACUCGAACCUCGUUGUUCAGGUAGAUCGUGCCUACGGCAAGGUCAAUAACCAUCGGAGAUUGAUUUAGCUAUUGUCGAGGCAUAUCGAUAGUUAUACCCACUCUCAUCGAAAGAUCGAGCCGCCGUCACAUCAAGUGGUAUCAAUUUUCAGGUUUAUCAGUGAGAGAUUUACGGUUUUACUCGACUAGUUUAUUUUUCUGUCCCAUAACUGUAACGACCCAUAUUUUUCACAUAGUAGUUCCACCCUUAACUAGAUAAUUAAGUAGAAUAUAUUAAGCAAAUACAUCUCUUAACUAGAUAAUUAAGUAGAAUAUAUUAAGCAAAUACAUCUCAGACUUCUUCAACAAGCAUAACCACUCAAAUAUAUAUAUUUAUAUCCAUACACCUCAAACAGUACAGUUGUACAGGUGUACUACAAAUCUUUGAAAAAAAAUAUAGGAAGACCAAACUAUGUUAACCUAUACAACAAUGCCAGACCAAACUUAGACCAACACAAAAUAUCUUUGAGUCAACUAGGACAACAUGACACAUUUGAGACACACUAACCACCACUCUCACGUGCACAAUAGAUUAAUAGUCAAUUGUUCAACAUUAUAGUCUAUGUAUGGGCUUCAACCUUCAGCCAAUUACAAGCUAGCACCUGUGAGAACAAUGGAGAAGGGGAUGGGAAGCCAUACCAGCCAAGGAAGAUGGUUUUCUGAUAUUAAAAGGAGAGAGAGCAGAGCAAGCCAUUGCCAAGACUUCACACAUCUCCAUUCUUCCCCAAAUAGCCAAACCUGCAGCUUGUCUUCCUCCCACUUUCUUCAUCUUUCUAUCUGCAACCAACAAAGAUCCAAGAACAAUAAGUAGAGAUGGUGACCUGAGAAAUCAUAGUAGAUCAAAGGAGGAAGGCUAGAGCAAGAAAUUAGCCUACUGGACUGGGAUCUGGAAGUAGGAGCAGCACUAGUAGGAACAGCAGAGAAGGCAAAAGAAGAAAGGUGAGUUCUUCUUCUUCUGUCAUUCCUUUAGCACUCACACUCACAAAGAAGCCUAACCCAGAUGCACCCACAAUAUUCCUCACAACUUCUUCAUAGAUGCACACAAAAGCUAAAUCAUCCCAGUAAUAUCAUCUAUCACAGAUCUUAAAAUCAACAUUACAAGAAAGCAUGGAUAAUGCCUUAAUCAAGUAAAAUAAAAUGGAUCAAGUAAACCAACAUCUUGCACAAGAGGAAUUGGUUCAGUACACACACAUGCACAUGAGACUAAAUUAAUUUACUAAAUCUGAGAACUUUAACCAUAAAAAAAAUAUUAGGGAUAGGAACAAGGCAUCACUAACCUGCACAUAUGUUCGAUCUGCUCCAUGGCCACGCACUGGAGCUCUGACCUGCACCAUCCAGCAUCACGGCGGCGCCCAAGCCGGCGACUUCGAUCUGGAGCAGCGGAAUCACAUCCCAACGAGAGCCUCACCUGCAAGCCAAAAUCAGAGGAGGAUUUGAGGGUUAGGGAUGAAUCCAUGGGGGACAUAUGGGGAUUUACAUCAGAGAGAGAGAGAGAGAGAGAGAGAGAGAGAGAGAGAGAUUUGAGGAUCCGGCAGCGGCGGAGCAGCAUCUUUCCCGUCGCUGGCGUGCUGCUCGAUCUGGGCAAGGUGUAGAAGAAACAGAGGAGGGCAUGCGUGUACUACUUGUGUUCUGGCUGCACUAGUACUAGUGUGUGUGUUGAUUCGGUUCAGAAUGGGUAAUAGUACUAGGAGAGAGAAAGAGCCACUUAGCCUAAGCUGAAAUGUCACGGUACACUCCCAGGCUACUAGUACUAAUUAGUUAAUUUGAUGACAUGUGAAUAAUGCUAGUUACACACUACACUGAUAAAUAUAACAUAUCUUGUAUCAAGAUUUUACAAGUUUAAAACCUUGGUGACCGUAGGAUAACCACACUGCACCAACGUAUUUUUAUUUUAGUUAUUCACUCGACUUAGUAUCAGUAUAUAUAUAUUUGCUGAAUUGCAGGAAGCAAACAAGACCCGGAGAAGGAAGCGCCACAGAAGCAAUUUGAGUUCGGGUCUGAGUACGAGAACUCAGGCAAGCUCUCCUUGAUCAUGUUGAGUAGAACUAUUUUUCAAAAACACUAUUCUCCGCUAUCUUAUCAUCAACUUGCAUAAAAUGUUUUGAGAUAAAUUGUGUGGAAUGAGUGUUGGCAAAUAGUUGGGUUAGCUGAUGGAGCAGCUAAUCCAUUUUUUUUAUAAUUAUUUGGUGGAUAGAGGGUGAUCGGGAUGGACACAUUGGAAGGUGGGGCCCUCUACAUAUGGCUAUGAUAUUAAGAUUAAAUAACUUCCACUCGUUUUAUGUGCCGUACUACAACCGUAUCAGCCAUGGUCUCAUCUAAGGCGAGUUGAGCCCAAUACUAAUGCCGGAUGGGUGCAUUAGCAAGCGCUAUAUAUUAAGUGUUGGUGGAGUGCGGGUUCUGAAACCCGACACAACGGCUAGUGACCACUAGCCAGGUGGAGAUAUAAUAUACAAAUGGGAAAAAGCUUAGGUUCUGAACCAUUUCUCGCAACUAAGGAAAUGCAUAUGGCAAUUAUGGUUUCGAGCUCUGUGUGUAAAGUGAUACAAACUCUGCAGAGUUAAAGAAAAACAUGAAUUCAUGCCAGUCUCUUGGAUUGGAGACUACGGGGACCUAUUGGUGGUCUAUCUCGCAAUACGAGUGUUUGAUAGCUUUUAUAAAUUGAAAUAAACUUCUGCAACAAAUGUUUAUUUUUGAAAGUUGUGAGUUGAGGUAUGACUUGUUGAUUUAUAUUGAGCUAUCAUGACUGUUGCAUUCUGCUAUUUGAGCUUGAUGAGUACUUUGUACUCACUCUUGCUAUUAAUCAUCUUUUUCUUAGAGCAAAGCUUGUAUGAGAAUCCUACUGGACCAAGUGAGGAGAGCAAUGGUGAUGGCUACAACUACACAGGGGACCUAGAUGUGGAUCCAUCUAGUGCUAUGUAUGAUCUGGAUGCCACAUAUGGGGGCUGGGAUGAACAAGUAACUUGUGAGCUAGCUAUGUAAUCCAGGAACUAUUUCAUCACUAUAUAUCUAGUACCGUUGUUGGAACUAGCGAACAUGUGAGAAGCCUACUUGAGACUUUUAGCCCCACGUGGCAUGAUAUUGUAAUAUAAGAGACCAUCUCUAGCUAUUUCCAUGUUGCAUAUCUCUAACAUGGAUUAUUAUUUGACAAGACAAUAUUUUGUCCAGAAAUAAUCCAAGGACAGUGUCAUUAUCUAUAAUAAUAAUGACACGGGUCAUCACAGGUGGUAUCAGUGCCAGGUUUUCGAGGGCCACGCAGAUAGUU
rnacentral:lncRNA from 1 species